UUUUUUUUUAGUGGGGCAAGAUGCAUAGACCAACAGCAUCUCCAAACCAAGAUAAGAUUUGGCAUGAAAGGAACUUACUCGGGAUACUCGCAUACCUCCCCCACACUUGGAGUUUGCAUUGCUGGGCAACGCAACUCAAGUGUGUGGAGUUUAAGAUUUCUUUCAUAAAUGUUCCCUUACCAAGACUUACUAAGGUGUUGUAGUCGGUGUAGCUCCCAUGUUGUUAGUUGUCACCUAUCCAUCAUUCUUUUUAAUCUCCACCUGAAAUGGUUAGCGACAAAAAAUACCCAAAGGACAACUUCAUCCUAGAAACAUGCUCUUGCUUUUUAUUCAAAGGGAAAAGUCUAUGAUAAUUGGGCUAUCUCUCGGUACUGCUUUGUUUAUGGUCACAAGCUUGACCAUGGGAACUUCCUCUUGCAGCUAUCAUUGGUGAUGUCGUUCCCCUCUCACCACCAAUUGUUGAUGUGUUAUUGAAGCUUUAGCUGCAAGGUCAGCGCCAUAGUGCAUCCAUGAAAUUUGCAAUGUUUAUGAUAAACAUAUGCAUCUAUAACCAACCUUCUAAACUUUUUGCAAGAGAGGACCUUAAGGUGGUUGUAGUCCUCGUGUGUGCGCAUGGCACAAAGCAUGGCUGACUCUGUAAAGGCAUUAAACGAGAAUGGUUCUUGUGGUAUUUCAAGAAUGAAGCUCCUAUGCUCAUCUAAGGAAUCCUUUCCUUCAGGCUCCAGAGUCAACGUCUCACAAAAUUCCAUGGCCCAUGGAUUCUCCAUCUCAAGAGAUUCAUCGGGGAAGAUAUAUCAAUGUUGAUUCUUCAUCGUGGUUGAAAACAACAUGAUACGGGCCAACAGGAAGAGGUUCAAACUCGAUUGAGGGUGAUGGUGAUCGUUCGUCUUCACAAAGGUGAAGAGUUUCAUUCAAGUCGCACUCUUUGAGGGCGGCAUAUUCUAUGAACUCAAAGAGAACGGGCUCGGAUGAGACCAACGGAGAUGCAUGCAUCACCGUCUUGAGCGAGUUUUGCUCAGGAAGAGGCUUUGCCAUAGGAUUUUCUAAACAAGAGGUAGUCGUGGUGGAAGCAGUUUCCCUAAGCUUUCCAUCAAGGAUCCAUUGAGAUGCACCAUCUAGGUGGGGGUUUUCUAAUGGGUAGCCUAUGAGAAGAUCAAAAUCGAGGAUAUCAAAGAUGUGGAAAUCUAGGUUGACCUCGAUUUUUUCUAUUGUGAGCGGCACGGCACUUGCGACCCCCGACAUUCAAGGAUGCGUCCCAAGGACAACUUUUGAGGAGCUUGUCGGAUGGUCUUAGCAGAAUGUUGCCCAAAAGGGUGUACGUUAUGUGCCAUGGCAUGAUAUUGGCCUCCAUGAUGGGGUUAAGAUGGGCUUCUACGGUAAUUCCCCUUAUAGAACAAGGAAUGAUCAUGGAGGGUGAACUAAUCCAAAUUGCUUCGGAAAAGUGUCUUGCUCCAUACGAUCAUUCCUCCUUCAUGUCCGCCUCGAGAAAGGCUUCAUUGGGAGGAUUGGGAGGAGAAUGGAGGUACCGUAGGCUUAGGGGAAGGUUAUGUCAAGGGAUUUUUUAAUUGAGAGAUAUGGACAGAAGAAGGUUCCUUCCCUAAUUGGACAUCAAAGAAAUUGUUGAAGCAAAAUCUGGACUUCAGGCUUCUGCGUUGAACAACACGGAGGACCUGGGAGAUCUACUUAACUCCAGUGCAGGCUCCAAAUCAGCUCGCGAGUGGUGCAACACGUGCCAAUCAAUUUAACCUGAAAUGUAAUCAUGUGGUGUAAAUAAAUAAAGCAUUAAUGGCAUGUGCCAUCGACUAUAUGAGCCAACGGGCCAAGAUAAAGCAUUAUAAAACAACAGCUAUAAAAGGAGCCCUUCCUAACCAUGCGCACACCAAAUAGACUAACAGAUCUAGUCAAUAUCUUGAUAAGUGUAAUUGAACUUAGAUAAGGUAACACGAAUGAGAGGGCAUUGACAUCAAUCUAUUAACCUAAGAGAUUAGAACAUAGUAGCAAGGACCUCUUACCUACCGCUUACGAGCUAAUUAAGCUAAUGGAAUCCUAAUCAAUGUCAUGACUAUGUAAUUGGACUUAGACAAGGUAACAUGGUGAGAGGGUAUUAACUUUGGCCCACUAACUUAAUCAGACAAGCUCACGGCAGCAAGGCCUCGUACACGCCGCUAUCGGUUCAAUGACAUCAUCAUGCUUCCAUGAGAUAUGGAUGAUACCUAGCCGAAGCAUCGGCUCUCAACAGUAGUGUGCUGACAUAAAAGGCCUAACGGUUAGCAACACAAGGUGCAAGGGUAAAAAUCUACCUGAUCUAGCAUAUAUAAAGUAGUAAAAGCAUGCAAGAUCUAACCAGUCAAUACAAUCUGAUAACUAUGAAUGUUUAAACAAGGCAAGGGAGCCAAUAAAGACAACCUAACAAGAUCUAAGCCGUUCGAUAACUGUGAGCAACCGUCGAAGACAAGCAAAAUAUUGGACAAAGUCUAGAAAGUUCUACUUGCAAUCUAAGAUAACUCGAUAACUAGCCACACAACUGAAUAUCAGAAUAUAAGACUUAACUUAGAAAGUUCUGAUAGAGGCCGUCAUAAUGACCAAGUGACGGUACUUACAAGCUCGCCUGAGAUCGAAGCCGAUGCAGCCGUGCGCGUAGGAAGGAACUCGUCGAAACUACUCUACUCCUACUCCUAAGGUUUUGGUGGUGUGGUGCUGAAAGUUUGUAUUGAUUGAUGAUUAUUCAUUACAAAUCUCAUGGGCUUAUAUUUAUACCUGGAGCAGGUUAAAAUCCUAGUCGAUUACGACAUGACUAUUACAGCUAUUUCUAAAAACUACCUAAGAUAAGUCUCCACGCUUUACCUUAUUUGGUGGAGUCGAUUUCACUUCAGAUCGGGCUUUCUCUAGUCUUCUAUCAGCUUCUAGAACCCUGGUCUCCCACAGCUGAUCUUGGUCAACGUGAAGUCACCAACGAUCUCUUUCUCUCUCCUUCAUCCGCUAUCAGAACCUUAUCCAUAGUGCGUGACUCUGGCCAAAAAUCGGUGUCAACAGAAAUUCGAGGUGUUUCUAUGGUGUCUAUAUGGAUCUUCCUCGAAUUGGAGAGGGAACUUCGGAGGUUGAAUCUCUUCUCCCUCCAAUGUUCUUGGUUCGGGUGAGGGUUCUAUGGCUGAAUCUGAUGAUGUGGAAGGUGAAGGAUCGGAUUCGGUUCCUAGAAGAUUCUCAUGGCUUGACUUACGCUCUUCUCGGAGGGGUAUGGACUCGACUAUGAAUGAGGUGUUCUCAGUGAAAUGAUCUAGGAUUUUCCUACCUUCAGCCAGAGUCUUAUGGAGAAAUGACCCUCCGGCGAUAAUGUUGAUAUAAUAGUCGGAAUCCCUAUCGAGACCCAUAUAGAAGUUUUGAAGCAACGUGUGGUCAGGUAUCAAUAGGGCAGGGCAUGAUUUCACUAAGAGCAAAAAUCUAGCCCAAGUCGCGCCUAUGGAUUCCUUCUCAUUCUGCUGAAAGCAGAGGAUAUCCACUCGUAGAGAGGCGAGAUGGGACAAGGGGAAGAAUGCGAUAGAGAAUUUUUCUCUAAGGUCGUCCCAAUUGCUGUUCGCACUUCCUACGGUAUACGUGUACCAUUGCUUAGCCUUCCCUAUAAGAGACAAGGGAAACAACUUCCACUUGAGGAUAUAUUGUGUCAUUCCUGCAAUGGUGAAGUAUGAACACAGAUGCUCGAACUCACGCAGAUGGUGGUAUGGGUUCUUGCUAUCCAACCCAGAGAAGGAAAGGUUCCGAACCUUAGCAAUUAUGUUAGGGUAGAGUUCAUAGCCAGAUGUAAGUUUUGGUUGCACAGAGGGUGGUGGCUCUAAGAACUCUCCCUUUGGGGUAGAGAGGUUUUGAAAGGAUGGCUUCUCCAUGGGUAGCGGGGGCAAAGGUAGAAGGAAAGAAAGCUAAAAAGAUACGAGGACGACUAGGUACUAAAAAGAUACAGCAACCAUUCCCCAGCAACAGCGCCAGAAAGCUUGUUGGUAUAAUUAAUGACUAUGAAUAAAUCCAUAAGUGCACGGAUACCGUUGUAGCUUUCACCUCAGAGUAUUCCAAGGGUAUCAAACCCAAGGGAACGUGUGUGUACUAACUCCUAGUUUAAUCGGUCCAAGGACACACCAAGAUAGGUGACGAAGGUAGAGAAGAUUCCUAAGGAUAACACUAUACGUGAGUUAAAGAUCGAUCUCUCGGGUUAGAAUACUCGCUUCGGGCACCAGCUUACCCUGAAUGAGUCAGGCGCCUCCUCCUAACAACUCCACCAUAUAUUCAAACGUGGAGGAUUACAAAGGACCAAUAAGGCUAUCACCACCUACGGCCUACAUUGCGACCCGUGGGAUAUAAGGUAAAUGAAGGAUAACCCUUAGUCUAGACACCACGUCUACGCUACUAUUUACUACUGCAGUCUAACUAUGUCUGGCACCCCGUAGAAGGCUACAGCACUCUAUAUAAAUAUAGAGAAACAAACCCGUGAGUAAGAGAACUGAUCUCACUCAGAUAUAGAUACUACUAAUGUAUACUGUAUAAAGGUCUAGAGACAUACAUGAGAGCAUACAAGCCUAUACUAUCAUAGUAAGGGUAUAUGACUAGCAUACGAGUAUAUAAGCCAAGCAUAUCACCAUAGCAAGGAUAUAAGACUACUCAUGCACAUAAGAACCAAGUAUAACAAUAUAAGAAGUUAUCACGAAUACGAACUUACUUCACUCAAAGGAAGCCAACAUCCAUAGAGGUACAAGCUGAGAGGAGAGUGCCGACACCUCAGCACUCCUCCCAAACUACCCCUCACUCUCUCCCUAUUCUAACCACAAGCUAGGCAAGGCUCCGCCUUUGCAAUGAGGCUCUAAUUCUCUCUUGGAUGGUGUGCUCUCAAGUGAGGCCCCCCUCUACUAUUUAUAGAGUGGAUGUGCCUUGGGAGAGUGGAGAUGCUCCAAGCAUCUCAAGGGAAUAUUCUCCUCAAACUCCUCUCCUUGUGCCACCUAGCAGGAUUCGAGGCUUUGAGGCGGUAACUCUUGGUGAAACGAUCAUAACCGCCUUUAGGAAGUCAGCAAGAGCCACCACGUGGAAGCUGAGCAUGAGAGGGGUUAGGGACAGUUUGGCCGAACCUCGAGCAUCGCCUCUCGCGCUGCCUUUCACCUGGGACGCUGCCUGGUGGGCCCUCAAGUUGGUCUAGGGUGCACGCGCCAAGUUAAGGCGGUUUGCCCCCUAAUGUGGGCUCAUGGAUCCGUGUGCUCUCUCCUGAUUGGCUGGAGUUCUGUUUCUUUGCGUUUUUGGUGUGUUUCCUCCUCUUUUCUAAGGAUAAGUGACCUUCAUACAAAUAUUCACCAACACUUAUGAAAUUGAUUAGUAAUAAACCCCUACCACUAGGUUGAUGAUCAUCUUUCCGGUAUUUAUGCAGGAGUUGACAACCUAGAAUUGGUACUUAAGAGCUGUCAGCAAUGUACCUGUUCAAGAAAUAUAGUUCAACUGGAUGGCACCAAGACAGGCCAUCCCGAUGGUUUCAAUUGCCGCAUGGGGUCAAGUAGCACCAAAUAGGGUAACUUUUGAAAGGACCGUCGUGGAGGCCUGCCUACAACAGCUUAAGGAUCAUGGGUAAUUUGUGCAAGACUUCUCAUAUUUUCAAAUAAAGGCGCUCGAGGAGGGAGAAAGCAAUGUGAUUAUGACUAUUGAGAGGCUUUGUUGGCUGAAUCAACAUGACAUGGAAUGGAACAUUUUUUUAUCAAUCUAAUCAUUCUUUUGUCUUUAUUAGUUAUGUUACAUCUUUUAACUUUCAUCACGUUAUUCUCAUCUUUUAGGAUCUCUUUGUAAUACCAUUGCGUCAAUAAGCUUUUAUGUGAUUUUGGCUCAAGUCUUGGAUGUGUUGAAUUAUAGUUACCAAGAUAGAAAUCCGAUAUGCACUAGAGAUUUCAAGCUCCAGACCCAUUUCACUUUUUACAUGCCAUAUCAAUUUACCCUCUCCAUUGUUCGAGAUUUAUAGUAGUGUAUGCAUGUGACCGUCCAUGUGAAGCGAUAGAGAGUGCACUAAUUCAUGCUCUAGCUUAUAUUGAUGAAAUUCUAGGCUUUAUGAUUGGAGACUUAAACUAUAUUGCAUAUCUAAAAAAGCGAAGCGGAGUAUGAAAUAUGUAACAUGCAUGGAUGUAUUCUUAUGGAUUUUGAACUUGUUCUCUCUAAGACCUUAAGUAUUGAUGUACGAACUUUCAUUGUGAGACAAGUUAUAUAUAUUUUAUUGCAUAUACAUGUUCUUUAAGUGUUGGAUCUGAAUGGGCUGAUACAUGGGAGAACCAUAUUUUAAAAUUUUGACGUAAAAAUAGUACAAAAUUUUGGCAGAAAUGACAUUUCCAGGAGCGGGGAACGCCAUCACCCGCCUCUGGAAAACAGUUUGCAGAAGCGGGUCAUGGCGUCACCCGCCUCUGAAGAUACCAUUUCCAGAGGUGGGUGAUAACAUCACCUGCCCUUGGAAACGGCUUUAUAGGGGUGGGCCUGUUAUCCGCUCCCGCAAACAGCUAUUUGUAGCUAUGAAAAUUAGGAGUGGGUAGCGCGUCUGCCACUACAAAUGCCGUUUCAACCACCACUAGAAACCGUUUUUUAUAGAGGUAUCCUUUUCAAGGAAAAAGCUAUAUUGAUACGUCUAACACAUAGUAAUGCCUGUUCGCUUUAGCUUAUCAGCCAGCUUAUUAGACACCGAAUAAUAUUUUUCUCUCACAACAAAUCAGCCGUUUCAGCUUUUCAGCCGACUCCAUCCGAACGACAUGCAUCUGCACAGGCGGCAAAUAUAAAAGCUAGCUGCUGCGUCAAAGAUAGAUAUCCAGUCGAACACGCAUGCACUUGGGAGACACAAACGACCGAUGAUGGAUCGAUUGAUGCGACCAAUAUACUCCAAUCCUGAGUGGAAUACACAUGCAUAGUACACACACGAUGGAUCGGAGCUGUACGUCGGAGCAAAAAUGGAGCAACACGAAACGUCGAAACCAGCAUGUAGCGUUGCGAAUCCCCUGAUGGAUCGACGAAAGGAGAAAAAAAGAUCAACACUAAAUCAAAUGCAAAUCUAAGCCCAACAUCACUCAGGGUCAUCAGGAGAAUAUUCCGUACUGCUUCAUUGCGCCGCCCAGUUAUGGAUGGAUGACGUGUCAUGCAUCCUGCCUCACAUUUACCAGACCAAAUCCAAGAGAGAAUAUCGUCUAUCGCGGCUAGCCCGCAUAUAUUAUAUAAUAAUAAUGUAACCCAGCAGUUUUUCUUUGUUCGAGCUGAUCCCCAUGGAACAAGAGAUAGAUAUAUAUGUGUGUUACUUCAGUGCUUAGCAUGAAACAAACCGAGGUUUAUUGGAGGCAUUAUCUGACAGAAACAACCGUCAAAAUUGAUGUGCCUUUUGGAUAGAUUUGUAGUUCUUCUACCAGUACAACAAGUGAUCGUCCAAUUUUACUUAGCUUUUGUGCCUUGUAGAUAUAUGAACAGGAUAAAUGUUGAGCGCGCAGUAUUUAUUAUUUCCGUCACUGACAAGUAUUUGUCUUAACUCCACAGUUUCAAAUUUUAGUUACAAAUCAGUUUUUAUCUGUUAAAUUUGACAAUGUGAAAAUGGCACGAGUAAAUUCAUACCGAAAUGUAGUCUCACAAUAGUAUACUUUUUUUAUGUUUCAUAAAUGCUUCAAAAAUAAGUAGUAAAAUUUGUACUUACAGCAUCUCCAUCGACUCUCAAUAAUCCUUGGGGGAGUUGAUUUUGCAGUCUCCCAAUAAAACCUUCCGAAUAACCAAUUCUCCAGAUCUUGCUGGAGGGGAGCGGGUAGGCGGCGACCAGGGGUGGAGGCGGGCAUGUGAAAGAACGCGGGGGAGGAGAACCUUAAGGGGAAAAAGAUGGGCGCGAACAGAACCGGUCGUUUUCGUGAGGACCAAUUUUUCCCUCUAUUUGAGGAGAGUUGAGAGCAAUUAUUGGGAUGAGCAAAAAAAAAUAUCAGGAAAAGAGAGGUGUAUUGGGAUACUGCUGGAGCAAGUUUAUUCCGGAAGUUUUUUUGGAAAAAGGAAGACUACUGGAGAUGCUCUUAGAAAGUUGUGUCUAUGCCCAAAAUAUCUCUUAUCUGUGAUUGGUGGUAGUAUUCUACGUUAAUUAUAGGACCAUGAGUGUCCAUUAAUACUAAUACUAGUACAUACAUCUUCAAUUACAAAAUAUAGAUCAUUUUAGUUUUCUCCUAAUUCAAAUUCCUUAAAAUUUACCAAGUUUAUAAAAAAUAUAUUAACCUUUGCAAUAUCAAAUUCGCUAAGACAUAUUUUAUGGUGGAUCUAGUGCAACUAAUUUGAUGUUAUAGUUUUUGGUGCAUUUUUGUAUAAACUUAGCUAAAGAUCAAAAAUUUUAGUUUAGGACAAGACUAAAACGAACUACACUACACUUUGAAAUAGCUGGAGCAGAUCCAUUUCAUAUGAAAACUGAGUAUAGCUUAGUAGUUAGAACCUACCCAUCUUCGUUAGAAUCCUCAACAUGGCACAGGUGGUUGUAUUUUUCCUAAAUUUAUUCUAUGAUUUAAUAGUCUAUGCUCUCAGUAGUAGUCUCGUGACCGUCGACAACUAGAUACCUAUUAUAACUUUGUCAAUCUCAAGAUCUGCCGGCUCAAUCUCUCGGAGGUGUUUAUAGAGGUAGAGUUUGCAUAUACAUGUUCGUGUGUAUAUGAGUAUCUCUAUGAAUGUACGUAUUAAAAGAAAAUGCUAUAAGAAAUUAGUAGAAAAUAAAUAUUUUUCGAUUUGCUGGAGGAAGAGAUAAAAAAUAAAUAAAAGUAUAAAGAAAAGUCAACUGUAGGUGUGGCUUGUCUAAUGGAGGACGGGGACUUUGCUAGGACUGAUUCCAACAGUAUCGGACAGUGAGAGGGAGAAGAUGAGAGAGAAGAGAACCAACAAAUGGGCUCUCGAGCUGGUGGGUUCGGUCAACGCACGGACGAUAUACAAAUGCAAUGCGUUUUUAUUGCAUCGUACAUCGAUACAUGCAUACAUCCCGAUGCCAAAAAUACAUACUCUAAUUUAUACCCGCUCCGUUAUAAAUUGUAAGUUAUUUUAACUUCUUUAGAUUUAUAGAUAUUAUUACCUAACCAGACAUACAAACAAUCUAGAAAAACUAAAGACAAACAAUCUAGAAAAACUAAAGACAACAUACGAACAGUGAGUACUUUAUUAAUUUCCUACCGCGCGCUGGAGCUGAUAAAUAACAGAAAAAUCAGCGAUUGCCUCGUCCUCGUAGCGAUCUCCUUCCCGUCGUCCCUUCUCCGUCGCCUCCUCGCCUCCCAUCAAUCCCUGAUGAGCGCAGUCCCCUCCCUAUAAAUACAAGCUCCAUUCCUCCUCCUCCUCCUCCAUUGCUUCGUUCUCAUCACUGCACAAGCUCGGCGCGCCAUAGCCAAUCUCUAUCCGAUCCUAGAGCUAAGCUAGCUUGUUGCGUGACUCGAUUCAUCCGAUCCCACUGUGAACUUGAGCAGGGCAGACACCACUUAUCUCGUCGAUCGGAUUCACGUAUAGUAGUAAUACAUGGCAAUCCUCGACCUCAACCAGGCCAUGAAUAACAAUAAUACCACCGCUCCUCCUUGCCAUACCCAUGCGGCUCCAGCUUCCGAUCAGCGCCUCCGUCAAGCAGAGUGGAAGGCCGGCGACGACGCCGACAACCCCAACCCCCGCCACCAGGCCGACGCAGAGGAGGAGGAAGAAGAGGAGGAGCUGCUCCUCAAGGGCGUGCGGCACCUGUGCGAGCGCGGCGGCAUUACGAGGCUGCCGGCCCGCUACGUCCUCCCGCCGUCCGACCGCCCAGCGCCGCCGGACCACCACCAGCGCACCAGCGGCCUGACGAUCCCCGUCAUCGACCUCGCCCGCCUCCGCUCGCCCGGCGCGGGGCGCGCGGCGGCGCUGGUGGAGCUGGACGCGGCGUGCCGGGACUACGGCUUCUUCCAAGUCGUCGGCCACGGCGUCGGCGUCGGCGGCGGGGCGAUGCUAGACGUGGCGCGGCGGUUCUUCGAGCUGCCCUUCGGCGAGCGCGCGCGCCACAUGUCCCCCGACAUCCGCGCCCCCGUGCGGUACGGCACCAGCUUCAACCAGCUCAACGACGGCGUCCUCUGCUGGCGGGACUUCCUCAAGCUCGUCUGCGACGACCUCGAUGGCGUCGUCCCGUCCUGGCCGGACGCGCCCGCCGACCUCAGGUGCGCUGAUUCUUCGAUCCGAUGCAAUUUCUUUCCGGUGGUUUCUCUUUUGGUUUUACCCGCUUGCUAGUUCAUCUCGUUCAUGCCUGCGCAUAUAUGUGGGUCCCUUUCUGAUAACAUCUCAAGCCAGGAAGGAAACAAAGUGAAAGUAGCAUACAUGCAGUGGAAGGAAUCAGAUAAUCCUUCAGUGAGCGAAGGGGGACUCAUCUAGAGUUGUACGUUGAAGUGGACAUGUAUAUGUGCAUCCCCCGCGGAGCAGAGCACAGGACAAAGCUCUUGCUGAUGCGACUGCAUGCCCCCAAAUGUUAGAGGCCCACCAGCGCUGCCGCAAAAUAAAAUAGGGGGAAAAAGGAAUAAAUCUGCGCUGCCCUUUUUGCCCGCAUCAAAUACGCAUAGUCGCAUACGCAUGCAUCCACGAAUCCGACGUGUCCACCUAGCUACUUGUCGAGUGUCGACUACACUGGCUCAUAUACAUGUAUAUAUGCGUAUAUGGCAACCGCAGGGAGGUGGUGUCGGCGUACGCGCGGUCGUGCCGGCGGCUGUUCAGGGAGCUGAUGGAGGCGGCGCUGGAGGCGAUCGGGAUCGGCGGCCCCGGCGCCGGCGAGGUGCUGGCGGGCUGCGACGCCGGGUCGCAGAUGCUGAUGGUGAACUGCUUCCCGGCGUGCCCGGAGCCGGACCUCACGCUGGGGAUGCCGCCGCACUCCGACUACGGAUUCCUCACCGUCCUCCUGCAGGACCAGGUGAACGGCCUCGAGGUCCGCCACGCCGACUCGUGGGUCCUCGUCGACCCGAUCCCCGGAUCGCUCGUCGUCAACGUCGGAGACCACUUCGAGGUAUUGUAUACUUGUGCCAAUAACGCAACUCUUCUGGUAUUUAAAAAAGACGCGCACGUACGUACACAGAGUUGCGUCUUGUUGCGUGGAUUGGAAACCAACAAUAAUAAUCAUGCAUGUUUCUUUUUUGUCUCCUGUUUUAUUUUAUAUUAUAUACAGAAACAAAUGAAUGCUAUAUAUAAUAUGAUUGAGCUAGCGGUCAAAUCUCCUAGCAAAUGGUGGUCCGAUACCGACGAACAUAUCGAUCGGUACGCCAAUCUGGCUGGCAUAUUUAGUUAAGAUUGCGAGAUAGUACACUGUUUAACUAACAGUUCCAAGAUGCUGGCUUUAUGGAACUAUACAGAUCGAUGCGAUAAGAAGCUAAUAAGCUAGUGUAUAUGCACGAUGCAGAUGUACAGCAACGGGCGUUACAAGAGCGUGCUGCACCGGGUCCGCGUGAACUCGGCGCGGUCGCGCAUCUCUGUGGCGUCACUGCACAGCCUGCCGCCGGCGAGGGUCAUCGGGCCGGCGCCAGAGCUGGUGGACGACGACAAGAACCCGAGGAGGUACAUGGACACGGACCUCGCCACCUUUCUCGACUACCUUAGCUCGGCCGAGGGCAAGCACAAGUCCUUCCUCCAGACCAGGAGGCUCCUCACCAGCUGACCAUGCACGGGCGGGCCCACAGGCAGCCACCCGCUUGAACCACCUGGAUCCGUCCUAACUGUUAAGCAUAUGAUUACGUACGACGUGGGUCCCACCAGUCCGUGUCUGUCGUUUUGGUCAGCAGCAGGAGAAAAGUCAGCACGUAUAGUACCUGCGGUUGUGGACCAAGUUGACCGGUCAAACCCGUAGCCCGACUGGUCCCAUCUACUGCUGCUGCAUGCUGUCUACCCUAGCUAGCUAAUAAGCUAUGCUACUUUAUUUUCAGCUAAAAGAAAAAAAUAUUAUCAGGAUCGAGAAGCUUUAUUUGUCUAUAUGCUGUGUCAAAGCAAAAGGCACAGGAUCCAUACGGUAUAGGAUACCCGUGCAUGGAGAUCCGUGCUGCAUAUGUAAUCAGAGGAGCGGGCAGGGACCAAAAGCUAGGAAGCUUCGUCACCUGAACUGGAACCAGACUGAGCAUCAAGCAUUGACGGCUAAUAAGGAUCGAGGAGGGUCAACCAAACUACAUUGCGAACGUGUAUAAAAAAAAAUUCAUCCUCCACUACUAUAAUAGAUCAUCUCGAGUCUGCCGGAUUCUAACCCUUAUCGAUACGGUAAAGUAUAGUAGACGACAAUAAUCUAAUGACCCGCAAAUGUGCCGACUGUGUUGGAUACUGAAAACGUCAUUAUCAGCAGUAUCGGUGCUUCUCAACUACUGCACGGAUAAUAUAGUAUCCCUGCCGGUUGAGCCUUUGUGUUGGUCUGGAUACCACUUGGAGACGACGAACAAAAGUGCAAUUCACCGGCUUAUCUAGCUAGUUAUCGGUAGCAAACUCAAUUCCAAUACUUGUUCGAAGGGUGUGUUGGGUUCUGAGACGAGGUGGGAUGGAACGAUUCCACUCCGGUUUUGGGAGAUGAGGCGGUUCCGUUUAGUAUUCGAUUGAAGUGGGAUAGGUUCAUAUUCAUUUCUUGUUUGUUAGGUGUUGAGAUUGGUGGGAUUGAUGGUGUUUUUGACACCGUUAGCAACAGUGUUUAGUGGACUACAUCUAUUAUUUAAGGUCCCAAAUGUCAUCCUCUAUAUUUCUUUUUCUUUUUGUCUUUUCAUUUUUCCUUUUAUCUUCUUCUAUCAGCAUCCAUGGUUGCCCCGGCAUCCUCCUCCACCCCAGCGUCCUCUUCCCCCGUCGGUUGCCUCCUUGCACGCUUCCUAUGCCCCUGACCCCGUCGACCUCCCUUCCCAUUAGUUCCCUCCACCCCAGCCACACCCCACAUCCAACUGUGCUGACAGCCCGUUGGAGUAGGCACGCACAUCGACAACACACUGAAGCCAGCUUGACGCGCCACCCCAUUGGAGCUGGCUCAACCACCGCUUGCAGCGCCGUAGCACCGCCUGCUUGCCUUUGAUAGGGCCGCCGCUCGCUCGUCAUCGGCUAGUCUCCUCCGUGCCACCCUGCAUCGCUAGGCCUUUCCCUCGCACACAGAUGGAGAAGACGGAGCUGAGACGGGGCAAAGUGGGACGGUCCCUGUCCGCUCGUUUCAAGUGGAUGGUCCCAUCCUGCAACUGGAGAGAAUAUUCCCCUCCAGGAAUGGAUCCAUCCUACCUGUCCUUCAACCCAACACUACAUGAAACAGGGUGGACCCGUCCAGUCCCUCAACAUCCGCCGAACCAAAUACACCCUAAAUGAAUAACAUAAAACAUAUCAUAUUCAUCUACAUAAAGAUAGUUUAUGUAGUUCUUUUCACGUGCAAAUUUAUCUAUACCCCUCACAAUAGUCCCACUUUUACCAGAUAAGGGGUGAUAGAUUGUCUUACUACACUACCAUGUAAAAUUAUAUGUUCUAAAUGUUUCCUCCACUUUGGAGCACCUCCACCAAUUAUAGGAAGGAACUUCAGCAGCCUUGUCCUAAUUUAUUUUUUUGGGCGGCCUUUGUAAAUACAUUACCUAUAUGGAGUUUUCAAAACUCGAACAUACUUUGGAUAGAGUUUAAUGUUUAAUUUUUAAAUUUUAACCAACAAAUGCGAUUGUUGAUUGAGAGAUCAUCUUUAACUAAUGAAAACCACAAGUUGAAAUUGUAAUGUUCAUAUGAUAACUAUUUGGAGAUGUUUGAAAGCAGAUGCGUGUACAAAUGAAGAAAUUGCUACUAAAUGCAAGCAUGAAUUAAAAUACAUAUCAUGGUGAAAAAUUGUAUUUAACCAAAUAUAAUGUUUUUAGUAAAUAAAACUAGAACGAAUAAGUUUUUAAUCUAAAAGGGAAAUUAACAUUAGUAAGUUACAAAUAGUUGAAUAACAAUUUGAGAGCUCCAAAGUGGAAUUACAAGAUGAACUUCUAUUAAUUAAAUUGAUUCGUAUAAAAACAAUCUAGUGUUUCAUAUGAGUUACCAUACAUUGCUCAUAUGUUAUAAUUAUUUUCAUAUCAAGUGCAAUUUAUGAAGUGGUUUAGCUGAAUUCUAAAGUAAUAGUAAUAAAAAGGAUUUAAACAUGGCAACCUAAAAAUUAUGUUAAAUGUGUGUUAGCAUGGUCAUUAACAUUAAAAUUGAGUGCAUAAAUGAAUUUAAUAAUUUUUCUAGCAUAUUUACACAUGUGACAUGACUUUAUCUUUUAAUACAUAUUUUAGUAAUGGCUUAUGCUAUCUUUAUAAUUAAAUAAAAUAAAAGGUAUAAAUACGAAAAAUAUGAACCAUAUGCUCAAAAAAAAUUUACAAUUUCAAAUGAAUAAAUUUUGAAUCAUGAACAUGUUUUGUUGUUUAAACAAACUCAAAUUUGACAUUUAAACACAUGUUGCUGGAAAAGCCCCAAGUGUUGAUGUACUUUAAUUUAGCCAUCUUUAGCAACUAAUUCAAGUAACUUUUUACUAAACACAGAACUUUUGACCAACAUGAAACUAUAUACUUUCAUCUAGAUAUGUUGUGGAUGUGUGAAAACUUUGUUUUGCUCAAAAAUUUAAUCAAACCUUGAUCAAACCCCUGUUUUUACAAAUUCUGAAAAUUUCCAAGUCCUUCAUUGGAUUGCCCUAGCCUUGCUCUUUACAUGCAGGCCAAGUGUGAAAUUUUUAGAGUCAUCAACAUUCAUUGGAUUACCCUAAUCCAACCAUAGCAAAGUCGUAAAUAAAUAUGUGACCUAAUUCCGGGCAGGAUUUGAAAAUUUUUGGACUGUUUAUAGUUGAGUUAUGAAUUUUUGAAUCUUGUUAUCAGAAAUUUCCAUUUCUGCACCUAGCUGUUCCUCAUAUCGAUUCAUGGGCUAAUACCUUUUCUUGCAAAAUCACAGAGGAUAUAUUUAUUUCUGGACCGGACCGUCUCAUUUAACUGUGUUUGUAAUAUUUUCUUUUAAAAUUUUAUAAAGUUUGUUCAGUUAUUUUUACAUGUUUGAUAUUCCAUCUUUGUAAUUGAAGCUUAUCUCUUGUUCUUCGGUUUUUCCUUUUUUCUUUUUUUUCUUUUUUGCGAACCGAGCUUGGAGCUUCCUUAGCCAUGCCAAAUUUUGAAGGUCAGCGAACAAUAUCCCGUUCUUCCGUGUUGUAUUUGGUGAUGAUCAAGAAAACAGAAAUGUGACUAAAGAUCUAACCGUAACACUUUUUACAUCGAUAUAAAUUUGUUUUUAGGUAUUUCCCAAGAUGAUAAGCACACUCAUACAUUAGUCAAACAUUUUUUGCUCUGUACGAAGAAUAAUUCUCUUUGGACCUGAGGCUGAAAAGCAGAUCCCUUGUGCUUGGAUUGUUUGCAGGAAAUAAAGGUACGAUUUGCAAACAUGCAAUGUGUCGGCGAUAUACUGAUGUGUGAAACGAAACACUCUGCAUGGGGAUUCUACGACACUAUCCUGUUAUGUGCAUAGAUUUUAUUCAACACUGAAAUUUGCUUUUCUGGUACUUCCACUUCUCUGGCAGCACUAUACGAACUUUAUGAAAUGUAGCACUCCCUAGGCUAAUUAGUUCAUUUUUAUAUAGUAAACUCAAGUGGUCAAUCAUCCUGGGCAAAACUUCGGCCCAUCGAACAAGUUUUGCUGCUUGCAGAGUGGGCCUUGCCAAUGAGCCGGGGGCCAAAUUCCAGCAAAGCAGCAUGCAAGAGUCAUGCAGGAUCAAGAGAACAGAGAACUGAGAUUAAUUAAAACGACGAGACAUACAGUACUGAUACAAACCGACUACCUGUAGCUAGGUCCUGGUACGUACAGACACCUACGUACAUAGGAGUAUUACGCUUCCAACUAAGCACUUGAGACUACGUGCAACUCGACUGCUAGGUACGACGCGGCGCCGGCGACGGCGCGGUGCACGGUGGGCAUCCAUGACUAGCUAAAACAUGCAUGUCAGCUACUAGCUAGGCCUAGGUGUCGUCGUAGGACAUGUACUUUGAGAUGGCCUUGGUGCCCUCGGACAUGGCGUGCCUGCCGAGCUCCCCUGGGAGCACGAGCCUGACGGCGCUCUGCACCUCGCGGGAGCUGAGCGUGGCCCUCCCCGCGGCCUUGGACAGCCGCGCCGCCUCGUCCGCCAGGCGCUCGAACAUGUCCGCCAUCAUCAUGUCCAGCACCCGCAUCGCGUGCCCGGACACGCCCAGCUCCGGGUGCACCUGCUUCAGCACCCGCCACACGUACCGCUUGUACCCGCCCAUGCCGCCCAUGCCGGCGUCGCCGCCCGGGCUCGCCUCGCCCAGCCGCCUCCGCCGCCCGGUCUUCGCCUUGCCGCCGCCGCCGCCUCCACCGCCCCGCUUCUUCUGCUUCUGCGGCGUCGUCUUCGUUCCUGUUGUUUUCCUCUCCGACGCCACCCGCGGGGUCUCCGGCUCCUCCUCAUCUCGCCGCCGCUGCUGCGGCGGCGGCUUCCUCCUCUUCUUGCUGACGUCCACGUCCUCCUCCUCCUCCUCGUUGGGCUCCUGGGUCUCCAGACUCUGCGGUGGUGGUUCUUGUGCGGCUUCUUCAGCAGGAGCCGGCGGCUUCUCCUCCUCGCGCCGGCCACCACGGCCUCUCUUGGCGGUGGGCUGCUGCUUCGCACUGGAGCGGCCGGUGGUGUUGUCGCUGUCCGGAGUAGUGAUCUCGACGUGCACCACCUUGGAGCGCGAGACCUCCCCGGUGCGGGGCGCCAGGGCCAGAGCCCCUGGAGCCAGCUGCUGCUCCGGCUCACCGUCGGCGACAAUGGCGGUGGUGACCUCCACGGUCUCCUGCACCACCUUGGUCUUCACCACGGAGCCGACCACCUUGCCACUACUACGCCGCUUGGGAGCCAUGAUGCCAACCAAAUCUGCUACGCAGAGCAGAGGGUACUAACACUAACAGAGAAUGCUAACACUAACAGUGGCGACGAUGACAGACAUGCAGCUCGGUGGGGAAGAGGCUCCUUUAUGCAGGGCACGGCAGGGACACGUCACAGCCUCACACCAGGCCGGGGGUGGACACGCGGCUGCCUGGAAGGGCGAGAGGGCGACGUGGUAACUUCUGCCGCCUGGGGCUCCGGGAACAGGAAGACAGACACAGUUGCACUGCACGCUCGUGUCGCCGUGGUGACAGGUCCUCUCGUUGAGACAGGUCGAUAAGAUAAGUAUGCAGGGCGAAUGGAGGGAGAGGGAGGGAUCGAGAAGGGCAGCAGCAGGUUCAAAUUAAUCCAGAGGACUCGUUGAUCCACGCGCGCGCGGGCUCUCUCUCUCUCUUUGAACGGACGGCAAGAGCUUUGCCAAAUUUUUAUUAGAUGGAAAAGCAUAAAGAAAAAGAAAAUACAACUAGCAGGGCCAACCGCCCCCCACUAUGCAAGGAAUAACUAAUACUUAACUAAAAAAUAGAGAGCAAAAGAACAACGAGUAAAAAGGAAGAUGCUCGCAACUCAGAAAAAUUGCAUAGGUUUCGACCUGCACUCCGUUUGGAUAACUUUAGUUGCUGGUGGUAUUCCUUUAUAAGAUAAGCUACCUCCUUCACGAUCGAUGAUUAAAUGUCCUACGAUUUCUUUCCUUUCAUAUGUUCCAUAAAAAAUAUAUGACCAAUCCAUCAAAAAAUGAUAUGUUCUGUGUUGAUAUGAGUUUCCGGCCUUUUUUCCACCAUCUAUGAAUGGAAGAUGGUCCGUUUGUGACUGGUAGAUGCGGUAGGGUAAACCAUAUUGCCAACUUAUUCCAAACCGUUGCCGUGUAAGUGCAAUUUUUGUAUAAAUACGUCGGCGUUUCUCUCUCUUGCGGUUCGAAUCACGCUGGUCAGAAGUUUUGCGCAGUUCGCCCCACAAUUUCGUAGGGACAGUCGUGUUCACUGCCGCGACGAACUACAGUGCAUCGAGCUUUCUUAGAAUCGUAUCAUAAUAUUUGACAUACAGUGAUACGAAGGUAGUAUAUCAUACUACACCCACUUAAUUAAAGUUAAAUUUUUAGACAAAAUUAUUGACUUGCCCGUAGCCCUUCUAGGCCAUUUCUCAAUGGUAGUUUUAUGGCUGCCACGUAGUCAAUUGUGGUAAUAUGGGCAUACUGUUUAUGAGGUAAGAGAAGAAACUAGUUUCUUGGAGAUGAAACCAUGUAUACACUAUUUUCAAAAUAUUAAUGUCUUGCAUGUAGUCUUGGAAACAACAAAGUAUGAAACAAUGAAUUGUAUAAUUUAUUUUAUCCUUGAAUUAGAUACAAUCUUGUUUAUGUGGUAUGCUUGAAACAUAAAUAUGAAACAUUGCAUUAAGAAUGGUCUUACGUCUCUGUAUGAGUUAUACAUUCAUUUUUUUUCAUUAUUACCGAUUCUGGCGUUUUUCGCUGAUAAGUUAAUGCCAACAAAUAGCAACAUAAAUGUUGGGGGAAAAAAGGCAUAAACUCAGAAGGUAGUAACCAUGUGCAACGCCUCACAUCUAUUAUUGUUGUGUCCAACAUGCAGGACACCCACUUAAUUAUUGCCCGCUCUCUUUUAACUAUGAUCGAAAGGAGAUCCAGUAUGUACCUCCGCAGAUGAUCUGUAUGUAUAAGUAUAAUUUUUUCUUGUAAAGGGAAUAUGAAUUCUACGCAUUUAAAUAGACCAACAUACCAAGAUCCUGUUUGUUUGAGCUUUUUGACAGCUUCUCAGCGUGAAAAGUCAGAAGUUCAAACAAACAACGAUUUUCUCGUGUAGCUUCCGAAAAGCUGGAAGUUCAGAAAAGCUGAGUUUAUAUGGAAAGCUGAAAAGCUCAGUUUUAUAAACUUUUCGAAGCUUUUUGAGCUUAGAAAACUAAACACAUCUUCUAGAAGAUAGUGUUAACUUUUUAGAAGCAAAAAAGCUAGCAACAACUUUUCAGAAAAGAUCAAAAGCUACAAAUCAAACAAACAUGCCUUGACUCAUCCUGAGCCCAAAUUUUGUUUGAAGACAUAACUUCAGUUCUAACUUCUAAUCCCCGUAACCAAUUCCCAAGCUACACUAUGCGGCAGCUAUAAUCCAAAAGCAACUUAAAUUAUUCUCUAAAUAAAUCUUGAAACGUGACAAUUAAAAAUAAGUGUAAGUGUAGGACUGUUUCCUUAUUAUCAAAAACAAAAUAAUUUUCACUAUCUUUCUAAUUUCACUUGAUUAGAUUCUCUGGUAAAAAAUACUCCCUCCAUCCAAAAAAUAAGUCAUUCUAGGUUAAAAAUACCUAGAGCCCCUUGAUGCUCACUACCUUCCCAAAAAAAAUGAUCUAUAGCAGUUUAACUCUUUAAGAUACAUUUUUGUACUUUAAAGAAAGACAUUAUAUACAUGGCAAGGAUGCGCUCAGCACAUAAUUUAUCAGUACUAGGCGACUACCACAAGACAGAAGUAUACCUUUCCAACUGCUUUUAGCCUUUUAAAAACGAACUUCAAAGGAUCCCCUAUAAUUAUUUGUGAGCUUUCCAUGAUUUUUGGGAUGCUAAUAUAUCUAAAGAAAUAGUGCUCCAUAUCCACACUGUGAAUAUUGAACCUCAUAUAUCUUUGCUUCACUCCUUUAAAAAUUGAUCUUCAAUCCAGAUAAUUGCUCAUAACCACAUAACAUAAUAGUGUAUGAGAAGAAGAUGAAGGUAUGGUUAACACAGAAAGUUAUAUUUUCACACAGAAUACUUGAUCCUGGUUCAAUGUAUGUACACACAUUGGUGAUGGCCUGAUGGCGAGCGAAUUGAAGCUUGGUAAGUUGUUGUAUGUUUAGGACCCUGUGUCCCAGUCAACAAAUAGAGUACACUCAAGUUAUCCAGGAUUUAAUCACUACAGUGUCUCUGGAUUUGUUAAAAAAAGCUACAUUUUAGAGUUACGUAAAGAUCAGUUGGUUAAUUUUACUUACACCUAAAUUAGUUUUUGCAGGAUUACUAAAGAUAACGUUUCAGAAUUCAGAGGCACAACAGCAGUGUCAUCAGUCCCUCCCCAUCAGCAUGUUGGUGACUCCAUCCACAAUCUUGCUCCGCAGUGAAGAUGAGAGAUCAUGCUCCUCACCAAAGUGCACCCUGUAGACUUCCCACUCCCUAUCUUCCACAACGUGUCUGCCAAUCUCAGCCUACAAACAUCACGAUGCUCCAUUAGUUGUUACGAGAUGCUUCUCAUCUCAGUAAAAAAUAUAUUCAUCUAUGAUUGUAAUAAUUGUUAAAGAUGCACAAGGAUAUACUGUACAUUAUAUAGUACCAUACCAAGAAGAUUCGUUUCUGAAGAUUCUUGAGAGCAAGGGUGAUGUCAUAGAACACCAACGGCCUACCCUUGCCAGAGACCUCAACGGGGUUUGCUACCAGCAGCUCUGUGUCAGGACCCCGGUCCACCAAUGCCACACGCAGUGGUCGGAGGAGUUCCAUCCUUAGGCGACAACACAGGGAUCCCUGCCUUUGCAGAUCAAGGAUCUUCUUUCCAUCUGAUUGCACUACGAACAAAUCCACAUCACACCUUCGAUUUUGGCUAGCAUAGAAUCGGCCAUAGGAGAUCUGACACCAAAGAAAAUUGAACUUGCUUCUUCAUUAUUUUCCUUCGUAGGAGGGUGAAAUACAACUGAAAUUAGGCUUGUAUCAAUUGUAGUUACCUGAAUGUUGCAGUCCUUGACUGUCCUCAUGAUGUCAUAUAGGAGGCCCUUACGAUCACCACACUGAAUCUGAAUAAGAGUGUGCACAGAGCUUAGAGAGUUGUCCAUUGUCACGGAGAUGGUAUCACCACCUCUUGUGCUGAUUGACUGCUCCUCUAUGAGAUCCAUGUUAAACAUCUGUUCCACUACAGCAGGCAUCAACGAAGCACAAGCUUGAAGGCAAGACAACAUCUCUUCGGUGGCAAGAUCUAUUUCACGACUUGUCAAGGAGUCCCCUAAGACACUAUCGAGUUUGUCGUACGCUUCUUCCCUUCUGCUCUUUGUGUGCAGAAGCUCCCUGAAAUCAUUCCAGAGUGUUCGUUUACUUUCUAGAGGAGAUAUGGAGCUCAUAGUAUUCUAAAAGGUGGAAAUUAGUAACCAUAAACCACAAACAGGCAGCACCACACUAUGAUGUUAAAAAAAGAAUGGACGAUUCCUGAUAUAUCAGCAAAGAUGCUUGAUGAAUAAUAUAAUGUAUGAUUUCAUCAUAUUAUCAUGGAGUAAUAGUUUCUGGAAUCAAGAAACAAAAAAAAAAGAUCAUUAGAAGGCACUGAAAAGGAUGUGUUAGGAGAUAAGAGACCUGGUAUCUGUGAUGAAGAAAAGGUCCAGCACAUUCCCAUCAGGGGUGGUAGAGACCUUCACCCUCCGAAUCGUGAACUCUAGCUCACACAAGACUCGUGUCACAUCUGUAUACACAGAAUUCCCAAUACGAAGAUCCAAAUUAGACCUUUUCUAGCUGCAUAUAUCUCCGAUGAAACAUCCCUUUCAGGACUAGCUGUCCUUGGUUACAUUAAAAACCAAAUCGCUAGAUAUGAAGCUACCUUACCUUACCUUAUCUAGCAGUAUUACUGCAUAGUUGUACAGUGGGAGAAAAAAAGAAUCCCCACAAGGUCCUAUGUAUUCAGUAAUCAAAUGGCAAAGAAAUGCAUGCUAUGGGGUAAUGAGAGACUGACAAUUUUGUCACAAGAUGUUUGAGUCUUUGAGAAAUGAGAUCAGUCAACGUAAUUUUCGGUUGUCUGAUAAGAUGACUGGCGAAGAGGGAAACACUUUCCCCACUAAUUUAGGCUAGCACUUUCCAUAGAACAGAAAAAUCAGGUAGCCUACGGAACUAUGCAGGGCAAAUCAUUACUGAAUCUAUGGUAGCAGGUGGUGUUACCAUGCAAGAGGCCCAUCCGGUCGAAGCAGUAUAGCUUGAGCAAGAAGAGCUGUGGCGGCGCGGGGUUCGCGGCGUCCUGGAUGCCAGCGGCCGCGAGGCAGGCGGCGUCGAACCCGAACGGCGCCGCGACAGGGCAGAGCUGAAGCAGCCUAUCCUUGAGGAGGUCCCACGGCACGGGCCGCCGCCCCCGGCCCCGCCGCGGCAGCACCCAGAGCACGAUGUAGCACCAGCGCCCGUCCGUGCUCAAGUCCCCCUUGACGACGCUGAGGCCGAAGAGGAGGACGACCCGGCAGAGGUCGCAGCCGAGGCCCGUCUUGUCGGGGCAGCUGACGGUGACGACGGCGGGGUCGCCGGCGGCGUCGGCGUGGCGGAUUUGCACCACCUCGUCACUGGGUAUCCCCAUAGUGCCCAGCUCCCGAUUGCGGUCGGAAGAAGACAAGAAGUGGCGGCGAUCUUGAGUGGGCUGCCGCGGCUGCGGGGACAGGCAGACAGCGGAGGCCGCGGUGGCGGAAACGAGAGAGAUGUGGGCGGAAUCUCGGCUGAUGGAUUCCCAAGAUCCUUGUUGUUCUUCUUUUCAUUUGGGAGAGGGGAGAAAAGGAAUCCAAACAAAUUUCGGGGGGCAGAAAAAGAAAGUGAUUGAUGUGUCGUGGACAAGUAAACAAGGCACAUGGAAGGCUGAGAAUGGUUGGGCGGUGAAAUUUUUUCCUUUUGUGCACCAACCAGCCGUUUCCACUUUGCUCUGUUCGACUGUUCCAGACUGUUCCGUCACCUAGAGAUGUUAGGAUCUAUGACUAAUUUUUACUUCGGAUCAUAUCGGAUGUUUGAUACAAAUUAGUGAACUAAUUAUAAAACUAAUUGUAUAAGUCAUGACUAAUUCGUGAGACAAAUCUAUUAAGCCUAAUUAAUUCAUGAUUAGCACAUAUUUACUAUAGCAUCACACGGUCAAAUCAUGAACUAAUUAAGCUUAAUAGAUUCGUCUCGCAAAUUAGUCUUCAUUUAUGCAAUUAGUUUUGUAAUUAACCUAUAUUUAAUACUCCUAAUUAGUAUCUAAAUAUCGAUGUAAUAGGGACCAAUUCCUGUAAACAAACGGGGCUUUAGGUAGAACUUGGAAGAAUUGCUUGAGGAAAAGUGCUGCCUGAAAGUUGUCCGCAAAUUUUUGAUAGAAUCUGCCUAGCCUGGAAAACCUGAGAAAGUUAAUCGAUGAAUGACUAUGUCACGUAUAUGUAAUUUUUUCAGUACAUCUAAUGUGAUUGGUUUGAUAAUUUAUAUGACCCUAUUAUUAAAAUAUUGAUAUUAAUUAAUUUAUAAGUCUAUAAAUUAAUAAUUUUCUAUAAAUUAAUAAGUGUAUAACAAUAUUAAUAAUUUUCAAAUGGUGCCCCAAAGUAUCUAGUUAAAACUAAAGAAGUUAUAAAACAAUGAUAAAUUAGCUGCACAAUGUUUGUGCGUUCGGUAUUCGUUUAAACGAUAACUAGUAGUGAAAAGAAAGAAAAGGACGAAAAGGCAAUACAAAUAGCAUUCUACAUGCGUCCUGUAACUAUGGUCAAUUAACUAAUGUAGUCAUUACACUAAUCACCGUUAUUAGCUCAGGCAGCCGCAAGCAGCAACCCAAGCAGUCGAUUUCGAUCGCCUGGUGGAGGAACCAGCUGCCUGCGUCAGGCUGAUAUCGAGGGCUGCAACCAAACACACUCCAGGCAGGUGUCAGGCAAAAUUAGCUCAGGGUUCCAUCCAAACAUACCAUUUGUCCACGUUUUUAACCUAACCUAGGGUAGCUAACCUAACGUAAUUUUUAGCCGUAGUUGCCCAAAGAUGUACUGACGAAAGCAUGUAUUUUGUGAUAUCAAAUAAAAAUAUACUUAAGUUAAAAGUGCCGACUGAGCUUUUAACGAGUCCAAAGUUGAUUCGCACCUCCUAGUAUACAGGCGCCUGAAAAAUCUCACGCCAAAUCGCAGUCGAUGGUGACCGGAUUGAUUAGGAAACGGGUUUGGGCGUUUGGGAGUUCCGCAAAUAACAAUGAUCCAAAGUUGCACUUGUGGGCAAGUUGAGACCGGGGUUCCUGUUAGUAAACAUGCAAAGUCAAGGGGUCUACAUCAUCCGUGUCACCAGCGCAGCCAACUCACUGAAUGAGUCAGUGAAUAAGAGUGAAGGGAUACAUUUCCCGCUCCCCAGCUAGGACAGCAGCAGCCCAUACAUUUGGGUGGUCGUCCAGAUUAGGUCGGCCCACCAAGGCCCAAAAAGGUACUGAAUCAGAAGAGAGGAGUAAUGCAUGACAUUGGCUAAAGAAAAAGAAAAAAAGUGAAGUCUAAGCAAGGCAAGAAAAGCGUACGUACUUACCUAGACCCUAGUAGGUGCACAGUGCGAUCGUCGUACAUCAAGGGCGAGGCGCUCUCCUCUUUAUUCAAUUAUUCUCACGGACGGAUGCAAUGCAAUUCCCUUUCCACAUUUGCAGCACCAGCGUACCUGCACGCUGCAGGCUGCUCCACCGAACCUUACAUAGCAUAUGAUGAAUGCUGCCAGGUUUGGUUGUUCGGUUCCUGUCUUGCUUGCACGGCAUGCAUAUGCAUCACAGAUCCACAGCUCAUACCUCGUCCGAAUCUGACGCCAACCGCCAACGCCUGGACGCAGAGCAGGGGUCGGACAAGGCCAUAGCUGCUGCAGCAGCAGCAGCUUCAGAUUGCUCUGGCACCAACAGCUCUUCUUCCUUCAACACCGCGGACGCAGCUGCGUGUCUGUCAGUGGCAAAGGAAGAGCAAGUUACUGGUGUCAGCUUGGGAAUGCAGGCCAGGCAAGGCGGCAACUUCCUCCUUUAUUUUAGGUCAAUUCUUCUUAAAAAGAGAGAAUAAGAUGGCCCCAUUGAUAUUAUAUACUAAACUGGAUCAUAUAUCAUGUGAACGAAAAGGUAGGGAAGAAAUAAGAAAGUGACUACGCGGGGCACGAGGGAGUGAGAUGCAAAGGCAGGUAAGCUCAGCAAAGCAGCCGUCUGUGACUCGCACCAUGGAUUGGAGGAUGCCAGUAUGGAGUAAACUACUGUCUAGCAUUGAGCCUGCUUUCAACACCCGGUAAGUAAAUAUAGUCUCUGACAGCGCAGCUCAAUGCGAAUGCAAUGUAGCCUCCCAACCAACCCAGCUGUACUGUACUAGCGUACCUUGCUCUGCUUUACUGCUCCUCCUGUUAUUACCUUCUCGUGCCUCUGAGGACAGGACAGCAGGCCGUGAUGCGAGUGAGAUCCAUGUGAGUGCUGGUAGCAACCAGCAACACAACAGCUAGCCCGCCCAUAUACCAAAUGAGUACGAGUACCUCCUCCUCUCAUACAACUAUACAAGCUGAGCCUAGCCUCUCGUCUUCCUGGACAGGGGGAACAGAUCAAAAUCAGCUCUACGAGAAGGAAGCAGAAAAACGGCAGGCAGCAACAAGAGAAGAUUUGCCAACCUCUGAGUGCUGGUUCUCGUGUUUAUAUAAGUAGGUAUCUGCUCCAGGCUUCCACUCCCUCAGUCUGUCUAUCACAUCGCUUUCGCUAGCUUCUUCCUCACCACUUGCUUCUUUUAAACAACACAGGCUAAGGGAAGCUUCAUUGCCAUUCCCUGCAGCUAGCUAGCACUCUUCUGUUGCAGUGACUAAGCACUCGCUUCGACUGCAUCGGUCUCAUCUGCAGUCUUGUAAAUUGCUUGGAUCGUCCAAGCCGCCAUGUCUUCGGAGGAAGGAGCAACACUAGAGGGAAGGGCACCUAGGAGGCGUCGUGGCAGCCCAGGCCAAAGUGGUGUGUCCAUGACGGUGGUGUACUACCUGUGCCGCAGUGGACGGCACCUGGAGCACCCACACCUGAUGGAGAUGCGCCUCCCCUCCCCAAACGAAGCACUCUACCUCAGGGAUGUGAUCUGCCGGCUGGACGCGCUGCGAGGGAAGGGCAUGGCUGCCAUGUAUUCCUGGUCCUGCAAAAGGUAACUGACCAUCCAGAAGUCCAGAUCGUUUGCUUCCUUGCUCGCUUGCUUCUGGCAACUGACAUAUGUAAUGCACUGCAAUAUUGAAGAAGGUACAAAACCGGAUUCGUAUGGCAUGAUGUGCUGGAGGAUGAUAUGUUGCUCCCCACACAGGGCAGCGAGUAUGUCCUCAAGGGCUCCCUCUUGCUCCCCCACCACUCAUCACCACCUGCGCUUGUAGCUGCACCACCACCUGCAGGUAUAUUAUAAGUCAUGCAUGGCAGCCAAUUGCGGCCUCUCAUUUUUUGCAUAUUUGGCCCAAGUUGCUCUUCUUCAACCACUACUUACUGGAUUAAUUUACCUAUUGCAUGUUCCCAUCCUGUAAUUUGUUGUUUCAGAUCAUGACCACACGAAUGUCGGCACAACCAUUAUCCAAAAGGUCCAAUGCGUCAAGCCAACUCCUGAUGAAGAGGCACCAACUCAUUCCAGGGAAGGCUGGACUACUAAUUCAUCAUUGUCAUCUCCUCCCACGAUCGAGGUUGAUGUUGAGGUUGAAGCACCACCUCCACCUCUGCACCAAGAGCCACAGCCAGAGCUGUCGUCAAUAUCACCAUCAUCUUCUUGCACCACUGGGGAUAGGGACGAGAAGGCAGCAUCAGCACGUUCAAGCUCUUCAGGCAGCCCCGCCUCUCCUACUAAGCCAACAAGAGGAUCAGCAGGAAGCGCACCUUCUACUUCAGGUAGCACAAGCUCUCCGACUCCUCCACCUAGCCUCAUGCUUUACAACAAGCAGCAAGUGUCCAUAAUCACAGCACAAGGCGAAGCAACACAAACCCAAGGAACAUCAACAGGGAGAGACCUUCACAAGAAGGAUACUGGUUGUAGUACCGGUAGCAUACUGAUCAAGGCAACUGUGCCUGCCGAUGAUAAGCAAGCAGGACGGACAAGAUCUUUCUCCUCCAGCACCAGCAGGAGUGGGACCUUGGAGUCCCUCAUAAGGGCCGAGGCUCUUGGCAGAAGAGGUGCCACUGCUAAGAGGAUCCUGGAAGAGGAUGAUGAUGAUGACAAAGAAGCAGUGCAGUCACUAGGCACAAAGCUGAACCCUGCCAACCUGCUGAUGCGGCUCAUGGCUUGUGGGUCGACGAUGUCUGCAAGGCAGCAUCUCCCUGCCUGUGGCCUCAUGCGAUCAACGCACAAGCCCCAGUACUUGAGCCAACAUGUUGAGCUGCUGCCAUCAUCUCCAGUGUUGUCUCCCCUUGGCGCGCUCAUCAUGCAUCCUGUAACUGCUGCUGGAGUUGGAGUAAUUUCAGACUCAGGAGACUGCAGCAACUGCAGUGGGAGCAUGCUCCAAACUGCAGUCAAGGGAUGCGAGUCAGGCAAAGUGAUGUCAACAAAUAUUAAGCACUCCUCAUCUUAUGACCAAUACUGGUAUGUAACCUGAUUCCUUUUCUUGUUCUUCACUACCCUUUCCGAUGAACAACUAGCUGAUAUUCUGAUGCAAGCAAGAAACUUAUGCCCACUCUUCCCCUUCACUAGCUGAUAUCCAGGCUUGAGGUUUAGCACAUUAGCACAAUGUUAGUCUUAUAAACAAAAGCAUUCCCUCAUGCCCAUCACUGUUUCAAUGACUGUCUCCUUGACCAUGAUCUCUCUGUACGCAAUUAGCUUUUUGCAUACAGUUCUCUGCAUAGAUUGUGACCACAGAAAGAAUACGUUGCAGUGUUUCUGAGAAAGAAGCCUCCGUAGGGAAUUUGGAUAAUUUGGAGGGCAGAAGCAAAAUUAUCUCACAAACAAUCAAAAUGGCACCAUGUCAGCAACCCAAAAGUGGGACAUUGGUAACCAUAACCACAGAUGUCAGACAUAACAAUGGUGAACAAGGAUGUAGCAAUGAAGCUUCAUCCAAGACUUUGUCAAGAAGUGCGAGCAAAAGAAUGACCGAUCCAUCACCACGAUCUACAAGAGUAGUAACAUUUCAUGAUGAAAAAGAGAAAGCGGUUAAGAUUGAAGAAAGGUCAGUAAUACUCUCAAUCUUUGCAGUUUGUCCAGUAAGGCAGUGUACGAUUUUCUUUGUUUUUUAUGAGGAAUGAACCUUGCUUCCACCAUUGCAGGCUUGCUUCUGGAGCUCGUGUCAUAAUCCAGUGUACGCCCUUACUCAAAGAAACUUAUGCCAGUGCUAAAGCAAUGUAACAGAGGCCGUUUCCAUCUUGUUUGCCCCCUCUACCCUUUUUCUUUCUUGAUAGUUCAAUGUUAUUGGCAGCAGCUGAAAGUGUGCGGUUCUAUCAGAUUUCUCAUCAGGGUAAUAAUUAGCAGAUGGGUUUCUGUACCUUUCAGGGUAGUUACCAUUGUAAUAAAUGUCCAUUGUCUGUCACCAUAACACUGUACUCUCAUUUCGGUAAAGAUGUUUACACAGACACCACAGUUAGCAUUCUUUCAGUUUUCUCUUAUUUAUCCUUCUGCUUCUGUAAGAUUUCCCUCGUAGAGUCCCUUCUCCAAAGCAGUUGUUGGUGGCUGCUAGGAGUUUGGCAGGGAAAAGGGUGAAAUAAACAGCACAUCGCUGAGUAAAUUCAUGCCCUGGACAUGAUUACUGCCUCCUUUUUCGUCAGAAACAGGAUUGAGCACUUCUCUGAAACCAAUACAGGCCCUGCAGGGAAGCAAAUUCCUUUUGCCUGCACUGUGCGUUACUGUAUCAAAGGCAGAAAUCAGAGUCGACUUGUCCACACAAUAGGUUGACUCAUGGAUCACCUACUAUCAUACAGACUAAAGUCAGGUGAUACUAUAGUACAGCCAGUAGUAAUGCCUGCGUGUGCUGCAAUCCAUCCCAUCGUUGUGGUACUUGUAGAUGCAAGUGCUUUCAAUCUCCAGCCUGCUGUGCUUUACUUGUACCUGCUCUGCUGGUACCUGUUUGUUUCUAGAUCUGCUGCGCAUUGCUUGCUCUCAAGUCUCAAGUAGCAAACACCAGCAUGUGCUCCAUUCAUGUGUUGUUCCAUUUUGCUUCCAACAUCAUUAUCUCAAUGGGAUCUCUUUCAUCAGGUGACUGACUGUUUUUGCAGUCAAUGUUGCUAUUGUAACUGAUUUCUGAUUGGUUCGCCAUUCAUGGAUAAACUGCAAAUGCAUGGCCACAUAAAUUCAGCUAGCAGCAUGACAUUCCUUUGCAUGACCAAGUACUAGAGAGUGCCUUGUAGUGUGAGGCUCCCUUCCUGAAUCCCCCAUUCCACAUCUGCCUGGCGCAAAAGGCCAGACAAGUAGCCCCGAUAGGAAAAGGUCCAGGGCUCACCAAAUGAAAAUAUGAAAUCAAGUGUUUUGCUCGAUUACCAAACUCCUUGAAGCAGAUCAAGCUCAACAUACUCCACAGAAACCCAUUUCUGCAACAGUAAAAGUUAUUUCAUAUUGAGUCAGUUUAGUAUAAGCUCAACUUUCAAGCAACACUGUCACAGAGAACAAAAGUAUAUACAUAAAAAAGUAGGGUUCGCUAUCAUAUGUUUAGCAGUGUCAUACAGCAACGAUGGCCUAUUGAUUAUGAAGAACCAAUAUCUGUAACCCUAUAUCAAAACAAACAAGCAUAAACUCUGGAAUAUAUAUGCUCUAAUGCAAUUGCCUAUUCCCUACCUUAUCUACUCUUAUCAGAACAAAUUAGCUUGCCCCAAACAUCAUAUAUGUAAAAACAGAUGGAGUAGGUAACUAGUAGUGAUAAACUGAGAUAUGAUGCAACAUACUUUAUACCUGGAAAGGUAUUCUUGGUAAGAGAAUUUCCAUAGAUUUAAACACAUGCAGAUAGUUGUAGCAUUGAGCUAUUUUGACCAGGAUGUAGCAUUGAACUAUUGUAGAAGAUUGCUCUGCUUCUCGGCUUAUAAGCAUCGGCCUGCAGGUAAAUCAAACAGCAAAAUCCCUGCAUGAACUAAGAUACCUCUUCACAAGCAAAUAAAAUCCACAGAUUGUCCCAAUGAAAUAUUUCAAUUUCCUCAUCACUUAGGUAUUAUAAGGGAGCAUAUAAUUUUUAGAAAACAGUUCGCACCUGCUUUUAUAGAAAGUACAUAAAGAAGGGCGCAUAUAUAACUUUAUCUAGCAAGCAAAUGCUCCCAAGGACUUCCAUAUUCUGUAUAUGUAGCAAGAUGUAUGUUCUCAGAAAGAGGAUUCACAGCUGUACUUAUGCAUGUGCAUCACUCAAACUCAAAGAACAGAUACCCACAAAGCCAAAACACAGAUGCAAAUGAAUCAAUCAUGAUAAUCACUUGUUUAAGUGCACUGUGGGAAAAAAACAUAGUAUAUAGGUUAUGAAAUGAACUAAAUAGUAAAAAAUAAUGUAUAACAAAUCCUUGUUACAGAAUUUAGUUAAGGAACUGAUCAGUUGGGUGGAACCAGUGCUGCCGGAAGUACAAAACUAUAUACAUUGAUGGUUGCCAAAAUUUCCACGGAAGUGAUAAUGGCUAGCUAAAUACAAACAUCUACGGACAAGUCUGAGUACUAAAUUGAGACAAAAUGACAUUUACAAGGCUUGCUUGACAAAAGCACGCCUUGUGAUAUCCAACAACUUAUCUAGGACGUAUCAACAAACAACUUAUCUAUUAGGGAGAAAAAAACAAAUCACCGGAGCACCUCCGCCUUCUUCUUCCCCCUGAGGAAGACCUCCCUAUCAACAACCUCGCGCAUGUACCCAUCAAACUCCACAGGAACCCCACCAUUGAGCCUCCUCAUCUCCAAGAACCACUUGCUGUCUGUCCCCCACAGGUCCUCAAACUCAUCCAGGUGAUGCACAGCGUGCUUUGCCUUGAGCGUCUCCACCAGCACACUGGUGACCCCCUCCCCUGCGACAUACACCUGCCGCCCCGCAUCAAGACCUUCCUCAACCCUCCGUCUAAGGUCCUCACCAUUGGCAUCAAUAUGGACUGAAUCAAAGUCUGGUUGCAUCCUUGAAACAAUAUCAUCAACAAUGUGCAUCAAGCUCGGUGCCCAGCGUGUCGCCCACCGCAUUGGGUGGAGCACGCCCUUGGCCUCACCGUCGCAGACAUUGUACCAGUAGUUCCCUGGCUCCACGUCCCCGAAUUUCCUGAUGAUGAGGGUGUCCCUAACCUUGGACAACUUGACAGGUACGAGCCGCGUGUCCUCAACGAGGCGCGCCCGGAGCUGGCCCUGCACUCCCCACCUGUCCCAGUCCGCCCAGAACUGGCUCUGCUCAAUGAUGGGGACCUGGGAGUGGAGGUGGUCGACGUCGACAUAGAAGGCAAGGCGCUUGCCCUCCUCGGGCAUUCCUCCCGUGCCCGCUGCGGCGUAGGAGGCAGCGAGGCAGAGGGUGAGAUCAAGGACGAGGGUGCGAUUGAGGUAGCGGGCCUCAGCGAGGGCGCAAAGGAGGCUGCGCAGGUAGUGCGGCAUGGGCUUGCAGCGGUCGCCGCCGCCGAGGUAGGCGAGGUAGGAGCCCUGGGCGAACUGGGAGCGGGAGAGCGCGGGCGGGGGCGGAGGGGCGAUUGUGGCGUUGGUGGCGGCGCGGCGAGGCUUGCGGGCGUUGGGGCCGGAGUGGUACUCGCCGAUGGAGAGGACGGAGUAGGCGCACGUGUGGGGAUCCCGGGCGAUGGCGAAGCGGCGAUAGUCCUUGGUGGUGGCCUUGGAGGGGGAGUCGGAGUCGGAGCGGGCGCGCCAGGCCAUGUCGCAGGAGGCGGACGGGGGGUCGCCGGGGACGGGGCGGCCGAAGCGGGCGAAGUGGACGGCCGGGAAGGCGUCGAUGGCGCUGCGCAUCAUGAGGUGGAAGAGGCGCGGGUCGGCGCAGUCGAGCGGGGAGGCAGGGUUGCAGGCCUGCUCCUGGGGCCUCUGGUCGGUGAGGGCGGGGGCGGCGCGCGGGGAGAUGGAGAUGGGGAGGCGGAGGAGCGUGGCGAGGAGGACGAGCAGGAGGAGGAGCGCGGUGGCGGCGUGGACGGAGGAGGAGAGGAAGGAGCCGCGCCCCAGCAGCGGGCGGCUCGGGUCCAUCGCGGCCACACACGCACCGCGACGGCGACGAGAUUUCUCUCUCUUUUCCCCCGCCCGGAAAGGCAACGACGGCGACGAGAUCUGGUUGCUCAAUGCUCUCACGCGCUGCCCUCUAACGAACAUCAAGUGGGCCGCAACCAAACAAAGACCAUGUGGCCCAGCCCACAAAUACCGGCAGCCCGAGCGGGCAAAAAAGCUCGGAAGAAAGUAAAAGUACUUAUCAGUCUAAAAAAAGGUAAAAGUACUUAUCAGUCUUAAGAAAAGGUAAAAGUACUUAUCAGUCUAAAAAAGGUUAAAGUACUUAUCAGUCUAAGAAAAAAGGUUACUAGUACUUAUUCUAAAAAAAGAGGUAAAAGUACUCUUGCGCGAGGGACACGUAAAGGGAGAAGUACGCUUCCAUGGUCAUGAGCGCAGGCCAUGGAUCGUGCUAAUUUGGCUUCGUAUGCCUGCAGGAUUUUCCAACUUGACCUGACUUUGCGUGGUGGCGGAUGCCUGCAAAGAGAGGAUGGGGGGAGGGAUGCAGAUGACGAUAGAUCUCGCGCUCUAGGAGAGGAGGCCGCAGCGGAGAGAGGGAGCUAGCAUUUUCGCCAGGUGUUUCUUUCUCUCAAAAGAGAUUGUGAAAAGAAAGACAAGAAGGAAAAACGAAAGGAAGGAGCUUUAUGUAAUCGGAGGCCCGCACAAGUGGACUGAUAGCUAGGAAUUGAAGCUAGAGGGGCGCGUGUCGCCAUAUCGGAGUCGUGCGCGCAACCCAUGCAUGCACGCAGUAGGAUUUCUAAUAAGGUAGAAAAAUGCACAUAAAACAUUUUUUGCCGAACGGUCCUGACAUAUAAAACAUAUGAAAGCCGCAAACACGCGCGCGGAACACCAUCCAAGGCCGCGUCUGUAAAAUAAGAUAUUUUUGUUCUUGGAUCUAGUGAGUUUGCGACGUUGCUGCAAAAUUCAUAUGUCGCGAGGCGGACUCGGUGCCAGGACCGCAAAAAAUAUAUAUAUGUAUGCUUCACGUGAAGAAAUCAGAAACAGUUAGGCCAAAAUCUUGGGAGGAGAGGGAGCGGAAUCCAUCCGAUUUGGAUGGGAAUGGCCGAAUGGGAGAGGGCGGGAAGAUAACCAGGUGGCGGGUGGAGCUUUGCUGUCGUGCGUCAGCGGCAGCCUCAUAAACCUUUAGCAGCUCGAUCUCCUCCCUCUGGUCUCUGCUUCUCCUUGCUUCCGAGCAAGCCGUCCUGUAUCCAUCAUCUUCAUCUUGCUAGCUGCUUCCGAGUUCAGUCCAAUGGCAUUCAUGGCGGCUGCAGCUGCUGUUCCUUCCUCCUCCUCCGCCUCAACCAUCUUGCCGAGCCGACCCCAAACAAGUCCCUUCCAAUUCCAUGAGCACGCCGCCGCACGCCGCUCAUCGCCGGCGCUGCAACGCCGCCGCCUGAGGUCGAGGUCGCGCCGCAACCAGCUGGUCUGCUGCUCCCUCGACGCCACCAAGUGCGGAACUGACAGCGGCCGGCCGGCCAUUUCUUGUCUACUUUAUUUCUCCUUUGCAGCUGACCAUGCUCAUGCAUGUACGUGUGGCACGGACGCAGGCAGGUUGUGCAGGAGGAGCGGCCGGCGGCGGUGAAGGACGCGGCGGGGCGCACGGACUGCUUCGGGGUGUUCUGCACCACCUACGAUCUCAGGGCGGUCGGUGUGCGACGACGCUCUUCAUCUGAAUUGUGGAUUCUGCCUUUCAAAACUACUGACAGAUUGAGAUUGUUGUGUUCUUCCCUUCCAAAUUAAAUGAAAUGUAGGACGAGGAGACAAAAACCUGGAAGAAAGUAGUAAACAUUGCUGUGUCAGGUGCAGCCGGAACGAUAUCCAACCAUCUCCUCUUCAAAGUAAGCAUAUCCAAUCGACAUGCUCUUCAAAGCGCGCAACACAAUUUGAAUUCUGCAGCAUCACUUCUUUAUUUCUAUGUAUUAUUCACUUAAAUCUGAAGUGCCACUACAUACAUACUCUCUUCGACGUACUCCGAUUUCUGAUCUGAUCUGCAGCUUGCGUCCGGCGAGGUGUUCGGGCAAGAUCAACCAAUAGCGCUCAAGUUACUGGGCUCCCAAAAAUCGUUCCAAGCGUUGGAAGGUGGCUGUUGCGUUCAGUUGUUGCUUCUGUCUGAAAAGUGAAAAUUGAUUAAAUCCCAAGCGCCUGCGUACUUGCAGGCGUAGCAAUGGAACUGGAGGAUUCCCUGUAUCCCCUCCUGAGGGAAGUCAGCAUCGGCAUAGAUCCUUACGAGGUUUUCCAGGAUGUCGAAUGGGCUCUUCUGAUCGGCGCCAAGCCCCGAGGCCCGGGAAUGGAGCGAGCUGACUUGCUCAAUCUCAAUGGCCAGAUUUUUGCGGAACAGGUAUCAGCUAAAACUCCAAAAUUAUAUGCCUGAAUAGGCCACUAAUGGUCCGAAAACUGCCCAAAACCAAAUCGAACCUCCAACAAAUUUCAGUCAAAUUCACUAAAAUUUUAAAGUGUAAAUGUAGGAUCUGACUUUUGACUAGGUCGCACAUAUAGUCAUACUAGUUUUCUUAUUAUUGAAUAUUUUGAAUUAAUCAAACUAAUUCCAACCAGCCCAAACCGUUACAUUUGAUAAACCAAACCAAACCCGACCAUUAUAUAUCUCACCCCAUUGUCCACUAAACCAAGCUAGGCCAAGAAAACCAAACUACUAGAACCGGUUUGAGAUCGAACCAUUCCCAGCUUUACUGAUUUUAGUGCAUGCUAAAACUAUACUCGCUCCGGUUAUAUACCUGAUUUUUUUAAAAAAAAGUCUAUUCAGUUAAGCCUGUGUUCUCAAUAACUUCAAAAAUUGGGGCAGUUUUGUGCUCCAAAAUACAAAAAAGAAGCGUAACUCCGCCACACAUAGCUUAAGAAAUAUGGAAACACAAAAAACACAUUUGCAGAUUAUUUGAAUAGUUAGCUUCCAUAAUAUUUUAAAUUUAUUAGAUAUUAUCAAUAUAUCCUAAUUUCCGAUAUAAAAUGUUUUUAACCACAUGGGGUACUUCAGACAGCAACCUAUAUUUAUAUAUUUAUUUGUUUCAAUUAUUCACUCAUCCUAUGACCCUAAUGUGGUUUUCACUUCUUAUUUGGUAUUCUGAAAAGGGGAAGGCGCUUAAUGCUGUAGCAUCUAAGAAUGUGAAAGUUCUUGUGGUUGGCAACCCAUGCAACACCAAGUAUGUACAUGGAUCCCAUCCGUUUGGUUGCCGGAAUAACAAUAUCCAUUCACCAUUGCUGCUUUGUGCUUAACACCAUGUUUCUUAAUUUGCUACUUAAUUACAGUGCCUUGAUUUGCUUGAAGAACGCCCCUGACAUACCCCCGAAGAAUUUCCAUGCUCUGACAAGGUUGGAUGAGAACAGAGCCAAGUGCCAGGUGCUUUGAUUAAACUGUAUUUCAAGUCUUGCUACAAUCUUAGGCCUCGUUUGCUUCCGCUGACUUAUUUUUAGCACCCGUCACAUCAAAUGUUUAGAUACUAAUUAGGAGUAUUAAACGUAGACUAUUUACAAAACCCAUUACAUAAGUGGAGGCUAAACGGCGAGACGAAUCUAUUAAGCCUAAUUAGUCCAUGAUUUGACAAUGUGUUGCUACAGUAAACAUUUACUAAUGAUGGAUUAAUUAGGCUUAAUAGAUUCGUCUCGCCGUUUAGCCUCCACUUAUGUAAUGGGUUUUCUAAAUAGUCUACGUUUAAUACUCCUAAUUAGUAUCUAAACAUUUGAUGUGACAUGUGCUAAAAAUAAGUCAGUGGAAGCAAACGUCCCCUUAAUCUGUAUGGCAUGCAGUGGUCUUCUGUUUUCAAGGAAGGUUAACAGAUAGAACUAACCCUCCAUGGACGUACAUAUUCUUGCCUUUCUUCUGUAGCUCGCGCUGAAAGCUGGUGUGUUCUACGACAAGAUAUCAAACAUGACCAUCUGGGGGAACCAUUCAACCACUCAGGUGAUACAUCUUAUUUAAGCAUCUCUUCCGAUUUUACUGGUGAUUUGACUGUAUUGUAUUCGCUGAUUAGGUUCCAGAUUUCUUAAACGCAAGAAUUGACGGCAAGCCAGCGAAACAAGUUAUUGGGGACACCAAAUGGUUAGAAGAAGAAUUCACCAAAAUAAUUCAGAAGGUACAUUUGCAGUUGCAGAUAGUCCAUCUCUAUCUGUAUAUGCUAAUAUACACAGAGCACAUACAUGUAGUGAGAAAAAAAAAGAUGAUUUAAUGUUGGGCAAUUAAAUUCACAAACAGCGUGGAGGUGUGCUCAUCCAGAAAUGGGGAAGAUCUUCGGCUGCAUCUACUGCCGUCUCUAUAGUCGAUGCCAUGCGGUCACUCGUAACCCCAACCCCAGAAGGCGAUUGGUUCUCUUCAGGGGUACUCGUACUUGGGCUUACACAUGAAUAAUGCUGCUUCUCAUGCAACAUGGUAUUAACAUUUCGCUAUGAAACUGUUUCUCUGAAAAAUUUGAAGGUAUACACGAACGGAAAUCCUUACGGCAUAGCAGAGGACAUCGUGUUCAGCAUGCCAUGUAGAUCAAAGGUAGUGAUACUAUGCCAAACCUGAAUUGCCGUCAUUACAAUAGUAGGAGGUAUUUUAGGUACGUUUGUUUGAGCUGCAUUUUCUGAGCUUUUCUGAAAAGCUGGUGCUGGUUUUUUUUCCUGAAAAGUGAAUUCUAACUUUUCAGAAGAUGUGUUUAAUUUUUUGAGCUUAGAAAGCUACCAAAACUCAUAAAAUUGAGUUUUUCAUAUAAACUCAGUUUUUUUUGGGCUUCUUGCAAUUAACAAGUGAAUUGUCAUUCAGGGCGAUGGCGACUACGAACUAGCUACGGAUGUCAUGAUUGACGAUUUUCUCUGGGAACGGAUAAAAAAGGUUGUUGGAGUUAAUUUGUUAGAAACCACUUAUAUCUGGUAAAAAGGAAAAAAAAAAGAUUGUGCACUAGUAUAAAUUUAACUCGAUUUGGUUGCGCGCGUUCUUCGCUUGCAGAGUGAAGGCGAACUGCUUGCUGAAAAGGGAUGUGUUGGACAUCUUAUAGGACAGGUAAAUAAAUGGCACUCCAACUACUACACUCGAGGGGAAAAUAUGUUGUGAUGUUUCUUGAUCAUAAUCAGAAUAUGUAAAGCCCUAACGUCUUCUUUUGUUGUUUUUGAUUUGCUUAUGUGGUGUUGCAUGCAUGCAGGAUGACGAAUUGUGUGAAGUUACAGAGGAUACGAUGCUUCCAGGAGACAAGUAGAAAGGGAAAUGUCACAUUACAUCAGGGGCAUUACAUAACACUCAAAUUACACGGAUUGAUGUAGGUGAAGGAAAGGGAAAGUUAGUUAUAGAAGAAGGCAAACGAUGUUCCUACCUUUUUUUUUUAGAAACACAGAAAUGCUGUUACUUAUACUAUAUGUACCUAUAUUGUUUUAUAUUUAUCGCAAGAUACCUAUAGGGGCUCAAUAAGAGCCGGACUGAAAUACUAUAUGAUUUUGAGCUAAAUAAAUAUAGGGGCUGAGUUGGAUUGUGAAGGAGAUAUGAUGGUCGUGAUCCGUUACCAUCCCUAGAUACAUAUGAUGCCAUGUAUAGAGACGGACUGAGAUUGGUGGUACCUAGGUGAUUGGAAUUCAGAAGAAAAUUCCAUGCAACACAGCUGUAAAUUUAGGGCCUGUUUGGAGUGGGGUGCUAAAAUUUAGCACCCCACUUUUAGCCCCAUUUUAGCACCUAGGUUCCCAAACAGGGGUGCUAAAGGGACGGUGCUAAAAGGUGCAAAAGAUGCUAAAAGUGGUACCCCUGUCCACAAUUUCCCAUCGUUGCCCCCCCUCCCUGCACUCCCUCUCUCUUCUCCCCACCACACCCCCGUCGCCCUCCGCCGGCCACGCCGCCACGUCGCGCAACUCUCUUCCUCCCCAACCUCCCACGCCUCCCACCUCGCUCCUCCGCCGCUGCCACAUCCCACUCUCAACGAGGAAGCCACAGGCGAGCCCCUUCUGCGCCGCCUGCGCAUCCAGGAAGGGAUGGGGCAACCUGGGCCGGCCGCCACCCAUCCAUCCUCCCCGCACUGCCGCAUCCCACUCCCGGCGAGGCCUCCGCGGGCAAGCCUCUCCUGCGCCGUGUGCGGCAUGAGCGCCUCGUCCUCGCCGGAGCCGAUGGAUUCGAUGGAUCUCAGCUCGCCGGACGCCGCCACUGCCAUGGCUGCCUGGGGCGCUGAUUCCAUCGGGUUGCAGUGGGCGUAGGGGAAGGCAGGUGAGGCCCACAGCGCCGGUCGAGGAAGUGCCUGCGCGGGGCGGCGAGCUCGGCCGCGGCGGGCGCGGCGCGGGGCAAAAGCAGCGCUCGGAAUAGGCCCGGCCAUGCCUGGAGCGCGCGCUGUGCUAGGCCUCUGCCACAGCCGGCCCUCGAAUUCGCCGGAUUGGAGGCCUUGGUUGCCGAAUUGGAGGCGAAGAGCUCGGAGCUGCAAGCGAAGAUGGCCGAAUUGGAGAAGCAAUUGGAGGUGGCGAGGGCGGCGGUGAGGUUUGUAAUGGCAAGAAGGAUCUUGAGAUUGGGAUACCGAAGGAAGAAGUUGAGGAGGGGUAAAAGAGAGGAGGGAAACGAGGGGUGAAUAAGUCUUUUGUCAACACAAGUGCUAAAGUUUAGCCUAGUUCCCAAACAGUCCAAGGGACUAAACUUUAGCCCUCCAUUUGAGAGGGCUAAACUUUAGCACUGAUUCCAAACAGGACCUUAGUUUCAUAUAUAUGAAUGCCACGUGUCUUAUGCUAUCCAGUUACAAGCCAAGCCGGUCUUAUUAAAUCAUUCUCCUACAAAUGCAAAACCACCCCCUGGUUUGCAUGAGCUUCGAUAUACAACAUGAAUAAAACUCCAUGUUGCCACAAACAAGUAAUAGUGUGAAUCACAUGCUUCCCCAUUAAACUAUCCUGCAGUCUUGCAACAUCGGCAAAAACAGAGGAUGCCAUAAAUAAUGUCUUUCUUGAAUCAACUUAUAAUGUGAUGUGAUGUGGUUUGAGCAAGCAAGUGAAGGGGUGAUGGUUGUUGUACUAACCUAUUCCUAAAGGUCUAUUUGGAUCCCAUAGCUAAUGGGUGAAAAUGCUAAAUUGUAGCACCUUUAUGUAUUAGCCUAUCCAAAUGGGAGGUCUAAACUUUAGCCCACCUCCAAAAAGUGCAAAAGCAUUAGCCGGUAGAGAGGAGCUAAUGGAUGCUAAAGACUUGUGAAAAAGAAAAAAAUAGGAGAGAGAAAGGAAGGAGGUGAGUAGAUAAAAGUGACUUUUCAUGAGUUUUAGAUCUAUCCAUUAGCCAUGUCUCCAAACAUGAGUGCUAAUGAGUGGAAGUGCUGAACUUUAGCCCUGCUAAACUUUAGCAAUAACACAUCAAACCCACCUAAGUAAUUUUUAUCCACCAUGCAAUGCCGACCGUCCUCCCCUCCCCCCAUCAUGCGCUGUAUGUCUGCACAGAGCACUCGAUCAUCACAAUCUGUUUUUGCUUUGCGCACACAUUACGUUACGCAUGGCUCAUCAUCAUCACAUUCAUGUUCAAGCAAGGAGUGAAAUCUAAUCCAAUGAUCGUAACGAUGGUAAUGUCACACCACGCAGUUCAGUGUGCACCUCUCCUCCCCUUCUAUCUUGUACCUUCUUCGUCAUCGUGCCGUCGUCGUGGCGGUCGAGAAGAACACAAACUCUAGUCGUCAGCACUCAGCAGCUCACUGAUCAGCAACGGAUCGGAAAGGAAGAUGAAGCUUGGGUGGCGCCGUACAAGAAUUCCAGCCAGGGCUGCUGCUAAGCCGCUGGUGUUAUGGGCAGCGUCGGCCAUCUGCUCUGCCCUGGUCGCCGUGCUGCUCGCCUCCAGAUCAUUCUACAUCCAACAGCAACCUGACACCUCCACCGGGGCGGCGGAAGAGGGCCGGCACCACCACCGGCGCCGAGCCUGCGAGGAGCAUGCCAGAUGGGUGGCCAGGAUGGCGUCCCUGCACAACGCCUCCCUGGUCCUCACCGUCGACCGCAGGGGCUGCGCCAACUUUACCAGCGUGCAGCAGGCCGUCGACGCCGUGCCCGACCACGCGGCGGCGGCGGCGGCGCGCACGCUGAUCGCCGUCGACGCGGGAGUCUACGCGGAGAAGGUGGUGGUUUGGGGCAACAAGACGGGAGUCACGCUCCAGGGCCGCGGCAACCUCGAGACCGCCGUGGCGUGGAACGCCACCGCCAACUCCAGCGGCGGCAGCACCUCCGCCAGCGCCACCUUCGCCGUCCUCGCCGCCGGCUUCGUUGCCUACAACCUCAGCGUCCAGAACACCGCCCGCCCCGCCGCCCCGGGGGACGCCGGCGGCCAGGCGGUGGCGCUCCGCGUCGCUGCCGACCAGGCGGCCUUCUACUGGUGCGGCUUCUACGGGUCGCAGGACACGCUGCUGGACGAGCGCGGCCGCCACCUGUUCCGGGAGUGCUACGUCGAGGGUUCCAUCGACUUCAUCUUCGGCAACGCGCGGUCCCUCUACCUCGGCUGCACCAUCAGCUCCGUCGCCGACGCCGGCGCCGGCGGCGUCACGGGGAGCGUCACGGCGCAGGGCCGCGCCUCGCCGGACGAGAGGACUGGGUUUGCGUUCGUGCUCUGCAGCGUCGUGGGCACGGGGCGGGUGUGGCUGGGCAGGCCGUGGGGCGCCUACGCCACCGUCGUCUUCGCCAGGACGUACCUCGCCGACGUCGUCGCGCCCGGGGGAUGGGACGACUGGAACGACCCCGCCAGGCGGCAGUCGGUGUUCUUCGGCGAGUACGACUGCACGGGCCCCGGCGCAGCCGCGCAGAGGGUGGCGUACGCGAGGCAGCUGGACGAACGGCAGGCCGCGCCGUUCAUGGACGCCUCCUACAUCGACGGCGGCCAGUGGGCGGUGCCCCCUCUGCUUCCGCCGGUGCAAGGCGACGACGUCAUAUCUGCUGAAUACGCCAACACCAUGGCCGCCGGCAGCAUGUAAAUGUACUGUACUAUACUAGUACUACCCAAAUUCAGUCUGCAGCUGCGAUACAGAGUCAACCAUGAGCAAGGUGAAAAGGCCACUGCUCGGUCGCGUGUCCCAAGGCCAAGGAUCCGCCGCCGCCAACCUCACCGCCAGCCGCCGCAUCGGCAUUGUUUCCGAACACAAACUCGCCCCCGCUCUUGGCCACUUCAUCGUCUCGUGUGUCGUCGUUCCUGCUCGCGCCGCCGCUGCCACAGCCACCGCCUUCCUCCGUGAUGGGGAUGCGCCCACCGUCAAGAAGCGACAGGCCAUCAUUGCGCGCUCGCACCGGGCGCCGCACCGUCCAGGACGGCGGCGACGAGGAGGUCGAUCCCGUUCCCGGCGAGACGAGGAUGGGGCUCCCCGGCUGCAGCUGGUACGCGUUGAGGAGGAGGCCCUCCGCGCCGCCGCCCGAGCAGUGCUGCUGCUGCCUGUCUGCCGCCGCGACCGGGGGGCAGAGGAAGCGGGCUAAGGGGACUUCCGGCGAGGACGGCGUGGUGGUGGCCAGCAGGUGCGGGCUGCAGCCGGGCUCCGGCGGUGGCGUGAGCGGCGCGGUGGACGGCUCGGUGUGCCCCGCGGAGAAGGCCGGCGGCGACACCAGCUGCUGCGGCGACCGGGCGUACGGGCCGACGGCGAAGAUGGAGGCCGUGGGUGAGCUGUAGCAGCUGCUGAUGCCGGCGUUCAGUAGGAGCACCGUGGGCGACGGCGACCCCGAGGUGAGCGCGGACGACGCGGGCGACGGCGGUGGCGCCACGAACGCCACCACAGGCUGCGGCGCGUGGCGGGCGUAGUGGUGUAAGCUGCUGGAGCCGGGCGCCGCCUGCUCGGCGCCCGUCUCCGGCGACGCGUCGAAGAUGCGUUGCGGGUGGCCGUGGGGCCGGAAGCACGCGAGCUUCGCCUUGAGGCGCGACCACCAUCGCGUCUUCUUCUGCAUGCCAUCAUUCCGAAGUUCAGGCCCAGAGCAAACAGACAACUCAAAUGAUCAGAAUUCAGAAGGAUGUAGCUGGAAGGAAUCCUUCCGUAAUCAAACAAGUAAGACGACAGAUAGCACAACAACGUCACGUACGGUGGCGUGGUCGUCGUCGUCGUCGUCGUCGUCGUCAAGCUGGUGGCGGAGGUGCUGGUGGCCCGUGCUGGUUGUUCUCGCGGCGGCGGCGAGGACGAUGGCCGCGGCGUUCGCCGUGUCAUCAUCCUGCUGCCGCUGCAUCCUUUUCCCAAUUCCCUUUCUGCUCAAUAAAUCAAUCGAUGUCGAUGGAUCAGCCUUUUGCUUAAUUGUACGUACGUAUGUAUCACGAACAAACGAAGCUCGCUAGGCUGAUGGUCUGAUGGACGACCAUGGAUGGAGAAGCUCCCUAGGCUCAAGCUAAGGAAGAAAGACGACAGGACUAAUACAUGGCCGGACAGGACGAAGACCUGAGAAUGAGAAGACGAAAGGAACUAUGGCCCGGGACGCGUCACGCCAUGGCGUGGUGGGAAGGCAGCCGAGAUGAUCUUUCCUAGCUCCUCCGUCCGACGGAAUCCAACCCAAUCCAACAAUCCAAUCCAAUCUUUUGACUCCAUUGUUGACCACGGAGCUAGCGAGAGUCAGUCAAGAACGCACUUACCGAUCGUCCAAUUAGCGACGAGAACGGGAGGACACUAUGGACUUGUUCAUCCAUUUGUCCCUGUCAAUCCAGGAUUCCAAGUCCUCGGACGGCUCCUCGUGGGCUCGUGCGGCUUGGGCGCCCCCGCCACGUGAAAGCAGAAGCGUGUCAUCGUCAUGGACGACACCUCCGCGCACGGGACAAACGUUAGACUCGGGCAAAUAAGGGUCCCGAUCGAUUGGAUGUCCGAACCCAAUCAACCUCCAAGGCUCCAAUCAAUAAUAUCUGUGCUCGGCUCGCACGGUCCGUCACGGCACGCGGACGUCCAUGUCCGUGUCGCAGCUCUAGCAUGACCUCACUACUCGUGCAGCCUCCUGUGAUAGCAUUUUUCUUUUCUUUUCAUUUUUUUUAAAACUAGAAUCGUGCCCGUGCAUUGCUAUAGCAACAAAAAAUCUAAUUCAUUCAUAAAUAAAAAAUCUAAAUCAUUCAUACGGAAGUGCACAACAUGUCAAAAUGAAAUAAAAUUAACUCAGGCAAUAUGCAUAACACUAAUGAUCAAUGUUUGGGUCAGUCAAUAUAUCAACUCUACAUCUAAACAGGCUAGCUUCCAAAUGCUGAAAACUAAAUGUUUUAUUUAGGUGUGGAUAUAACAGUACCAAGCAUCCAUGUGUAGAUGUUAUAGUCGUUAUGGUUGUAUGGUUGGUACGAAUAUGGCCUGUGCAGCCAAUCGCUUAGUGUCAUCCGGUCUCAUGCUAUCCAAGAAUGCUGUGGAGUCUCCGUCUUCAAAAUUGUUUCUCAAGAAUUAGACUUAUAACCAACGAAACAAUGUCAGUUCUAGAAUGGUGCACUAAAAACAACAAUAAGUAUUCUUCCAGGAUAUUUCACCAUGGAUUUGAAGCCAUUUGAAAAAUACACAAGCCAUGCGUGAAUUCUUUUGACAUUUACUUUUGAAACGUCUGUUCUUGGAUCAUAAAAAACCAUGAAAUUUAACACCAUGUUUCAAUUGAAUUUUGCACAUUAAUUGUCUCCUCGGUGGAAUAACCAUAUGAUAUUUACUCGUAAGAAUUACACUGUACAUUAUAUUCCUAGGGAGAUUCGAGAAAAGUAAUAGGAAAACCAACUGCUUGUGUUCUUCUGUACCAGUGAAGCAUUGCAAUAUAACGUGCAUAAGUAUUUAGAUUCAUGUAAUUAUGGUGCAAACAAUAUUAAAUGUCAUUGCAAUUGCUUAUUAUUUUGGUGUCAGGUGACAGAAAGGGCAAGCAUCCUUUUUGCACUCGCUGGAGCCAUGGGAUAUCAAUUAAUAUCUUUCGAUGCAUAGACAUGUAAGAUCCUUAGUUACAUAGUAGAAAAUAGGUACAAUUAUAACUAUACCACGAGUACUCACACCCUGCGGUGGCUGACCCUCCACAGCACGGGAGCUCAGUGUUUGUACAUAGGAGUAGAAAAUACCUUCGUCCUCAAAAUUCAUAAACAAGUAAAUCUACAAUGUAACCUGAAAUCCAUGAAAGUAGCAAUACAUCAGGGGAAAUAAAAAGAAACUGCAAUUUCUUUCACCUGUCAAGUGUGCUGUGGUAGGGGUUUAAACAAUGAAAUUUCUGGUACAUACUUUCAGUACUAAUGCAGCUACAUUUUUAUUUGGUUCAUUUUUAUUCAGUACUCAUGCUUGCUUUUACAAAGUUAAGGAAGAGAUCAGAGCAUGGCAAAUAUUAGCAGAUCACAUAUGUGAAGUUAAAAAUGGUCUUCGUAGCAAAAGAAAAAGUAAAGAUUAAAACACACCAUUUGAUUGACUAAGAAUUCUAGCAUUCUAUAAGACUCUAGCUCAAACGGCAACCACAAACUAAACUGCUAUGAAUCAAAAUAAUUCAGAACACACAGUCUAAAAGGGUGAGUUGAAGAGUGCCAGCAAGAAUCCGACGCCCUCAAGCAGUAUGCACCUUCUCAACUUGGUCGCCGAAGAACAACUCUGCUUUAGCUUGUUCCCACCGGCCCUUCCUGCUCUGACUGAGACUGUCCAUUCCUCAUCCCUUCUUGUUACCACCGCUCCCUUCUGUCGCUCAAUGUUUGACAGUGCAAAUUGCUUGUGCCAGGUUCAUCAUUAUUCAGUUCUUUUGGGCCCUUACCUACCAGAAACAAUAUUGACAAGAAAAGAAUCGUGUUUAUAUAAGAAAUCAAGCAAAAGCAUGGGAGAAUGUCACAAGCAUAUAGAUGAAAUGAGGCCUAUAAUUAGACAAAACUACCAUGAACGACAAUUCUUUCAAGUUCUGAGGAGUUUCAGAGCAUUUGGAAGAUUAGCAAAGUAUAUUGAUCCAAACAUAUAUUAUCAUUAUCAGUCAUUAGGCAAUCAAAAUUAGCCACUGCUGUGCAUAGUACCAAGUCUUAGUUAAGCAAUAAGAAAUGUGCAAGCAUAGUAACCACAGCUCUUCAUUUCCUGAUCAAGAGAACGAAAUCAAAGCAUAAGAUAGAAUAUGGUAACGAAGGCAAUCAACAUCAUAGACUGAAAGAAUGAUUUAUAAGCUUGAAGUGGCAUUUCAUCAAACACUUAAGUGCAAGCAUUAGAAGGAUAGACCGUCAAGCACAGCAUAUCACCUUGGGUGUCUCGAGAAUGACCUGAUUGACAUGGAGCAGUAAGCACAGCAAAAUCACCUCGACGUGGCGAGCUUGGCUAUUUUGGUGGACGGCAAGCACAGAGCAGCAAACAAGGGCGACGGCGUCCUUCUGCCUUGCUGGCACUGAUGCCUUAGCGAGCUCCAUGGUGGUGUGGCGGAUGUACGUCCUCAGGCAUGGCUAGCGUGGCCAGGUCAACGCGAGGCAGACGCCCGUCGGUGCCUGUGAGGACCUUCUAUCGAUGGCUUCGCUGGAGAUGGCAGAGAGGGAGGGGGCAGUGGGGCUUACAUGAAGAUGACCCAUCCGCCGAGCAGGCUGUCGGCGUGGCAGGCGGUGAGGCGGAGGCGCGGGCUUGGCGAAGGAGAGGAAAGAGGGGCGGCGGCGGGCUUGUCGCAGGGGAGGGCGGCGCGCGGCGGCGGCCAUGGGGUGGGAUUUGGGGCAGCGACCGCAGUGUCGCCCUUGGAUGCGGAGGCGGCGGCGGGCUUGGCGGCGGAGGAGGUCGCGGGCAUGGGAGCGACGGCGGCGGCGGGGAUGGCCGGCUUGGGGGCGGAGGAGGCGGCCUGCUUGGUCGUCUCUAGGAGGCGCUUCCACAUGGGUGCCAAGGCGACGGUCGGAGAAGCCGCCGCCGCCGGUGCGUGAUGCGGCAGCAGCUUCCGGCGGGCGCGCUUCGUUGGACGCGGGGGCCGGGGUGGGGUCGCUGGCGUGGCGCGGGUGGGCGAGGAGGUGCGCGUGCGGGAAUGGCGGCGGCGGCAGCGUGGGGAGGAAGAUGCGGACGAAGACGGGGAGGGUGGAGGGGGAAACAGGAGGCGGAACGGGACUGACCGUAAAAACGUCCCCCUCUGAUUGUUUUAGCUGUACAGAAGAGAAAGACACUCAAAGGUAUAUCAUUUCUGAUGUAUACUCCCUCUAUUCCAAGUUAAACUUCAGAUGGUUUGAUUUGGAACAAAGUUUGACAAAUCUAUGUAAAAAGUGGUAACACACAAAUAACAGUAUCGUAUUUCCAAUCCUCUAGUUGUGAGGCUACCAACAAGAGUUCAAACCCUGGAUCUCACAUAAAAAUAGACUCCUUGCUGUUAUAUUGUGCCUUCAGAGUCCGAGACGAAGUUAGGAUUGAAGUAUAGAGGGAGCCAAUAUAGUAGUGAACAUGCCUUAGGAUCCGAACAUCGGAUUAACUUUUAGGGCCUGUUUGUUUGAGUGCUUAUGCAUAAGCAACUUAAAAUAAGCAAAUAAGUUGCUUAUGAAACCAAUCACUUUUGCUUAUAGGGUUGCUUAUGAGGUUGCUUAUUAUAAGCAAAUAAGCAACUCUUGGGUUGCUUAUGGGGAGUAAAAGGUGCACUUUACAUCUCCUGCCCUCAUUCAAUGCACCCUACCCUCCUCUCUCUCCCCCCUCUCCCGUCACCGAGCACCACUCCCCUGCCUCCGCGCCGCCGGCCUCCGCGCCACCCGCUGCCCCCGGCUGCCGUGCCACCCGCCGCCGCUCCCGCUCGCUGCUGCCUCCGCGCCGCCCGCCUCCCCGCCUCCUCGCCGCUCGCCGCCGCUCCCGCCCGCCGCCCGCCUCCACGCCAUCCGCCGCCGUGCUGAUCCACCCUGGUUCUAGGGCUUGGAGGCCGGGAUCGGGUAGUGCAGGAAGAAGAAGGGUGGGGAGGCAAAUUGGAGGGUAGCAACACAAGAGGCAAAUAUGACAAUGUCCAUCUCAUAAAGCAAGGGUAUCCAAACAGCUUAGACUAAAAAUAAGCAACUCCAAAUAAACACCUUUGCAUCUUACCUUUCAUCCAAAGAGGGCCUGAGAGCAACUCAAACCAAACAGACCCUUUUUCAUGAGCUCCAAGAGGGCCUGAGAGCUGUCAGUAGUGUCGGGGCCAGCUGUCACAUGAUAGCAUUUCCAUUGCAAAUAGUGUUUCAUACGUGGUGGUGAGUCAGGCCUUGUUUAGUUGGUCAAAUUGGGAGGUGCCAAAUUACUGUGCUGGCACUGUAGCACACUGUAGCGUUUCGUUUGUAUUUGUGAAUUAUUGUCCAAACAUUAACUAAUUAGGCUCAAAAGAUUCGUCUCGCAAAGUACAACAAAACUGUGCAAUUAGUUUUUAAUUUCAUCUACAUUUAGUACUCCAUGCAUGUACCGCAAGUUUGAUGUGAUGGGGAAUCUUCUUUUUGCAUAGUGGCAAAGUUGGGAGUUGGGGGUGAAACAAGAGCUCCUAUGGUUUCAGUAAAAGUGGCAUCAGUACUUUGCAUCCUACCUUUCAUCCUGUUUCCCCAACGUCUGAAGACGAAAAGGUAAUGGGCACGGGGCCACACAUCUCCUUCUCGUCUCUCUAACCAAGCAAGGGAUCGGGGUACGGGACCCACCCCACCCCCACCAUAAAGAAAAAGAGGACAGGUCCUCUCACUCCCACUGGGGCGUAGAAUCAUCGUCCUUGAUCCGUCAGAGCGUCUCCGGCAGGCAUUAAAGAAUUGGGAGGGAGAGCGGUCGUCAACGCCGGCGCCGGUGGAGCAAAUAUCUGUUGCUGAUCAACACAGAUACUACUCACGAAGCUGCUGUACCAGGAGGCAUCCAUGCAGAUACUAUGCGGGCCAGGAUAUCAUGUGGGCAGAUUGAUUUAUAUUUUGCAGUGCUCAGAUCCUCGGAGAACGAUCUCAGGUCUCAAAUAACAACAUUCUUAAACACGACGCAGGAAAGAACUUGAAGAACAGGAUUUGGUUUGCCGAUUCAGACACACAUAGGAAACCAUGGCUAUCAUGCGCGGCGGAUCGAUUAGCACAGCAGCCGGCGAAAUGACUGGAUCCGCGUCCGGAUCCGAUCAGUAGUCGUCGUCGUAGCCGCCGCCGUAAUCGUCGUAGCCGCCCCCGUAGCCGCCGCCGCCGCCGUACGAGUCCUCCCUCUCCAGCUUCUCCUCCACCCUCUCCGAGACGCGCUCCUCCAACUUGUUCUCCAGCAAGCUCGCCCCGCCGGCCAGCGCCAGGCCCCCGAGCACGCCCGCCGCCGCGCCGACGGCCAACCCCGUCC
rnacentral:lncRNA from 1 species